AGCAUAAAAGUAAAAAAUUUAUGUUUGCUAUAUGUAAAAGUUGCCCUAAAUAAUAUAUGUAAUACAAUUUCAAUCGGACUUAAUUACAAUAGAAAAAUCAAUUCUAAUUCAAUAUUCAACUAGAAGAAAAAAAAAGCUAUUAUUGAAUUGUAAUUAGCUUUGAAGAAGGAAAUUAAGUAGUGAUAUGUGACAAAGGAAGCCAAGGUCAAUAAACAUCAUGUAUAUGCCUUUAUAUACGUUACAUUAUCGGUUGAUUUUUUCGAUCUCGAUCAACUUAAAUAUUAUCUACACAAUCCAAUAUUAUGCAAAAAAAAAAAUUGAAAAAACUUUUUAUAUGUUUAAUAAGGAAAGUUUCUAGUAUGACAGCAAAUGUAGCUCAGAAAUUUCUUUAGAUUGUGGCAUUGUUGGAAUUUUUUUCCGAAUUAUCUUAUUAAAAUUUCUAGCUCAGUCACUAAUUAUGUCACUGUUAUUCAUUUAACUCGUGUUAUAAGCUAAUGGAUUAAAGAAAUAAAUUAGGAGUUGGAUUUCUUGUAUAUCAAUUAACUAAUAUUAAGCAAGUUACACUUUGGAUUGAAUAAUUGUGCUCCAUAUCAAACUUUAUGUUUGUUAUAGCUAUUAAUAUGUAUAUUUCGUUAUACAUAUAUAAAAGAAUCAAUUGUAUAAUUUGUGUUUGUAUAAAGCGAGAAAGAGGGAAAGAUAAAAGAAAAUUGGGUAGGGAAAGAUAUGUAUUUGUAUUUUUUUAUUAUAAGUGUAUAAUUUGAAAAUAUAUGUAUUUGUAUUUAUAUAUACAAUUUUCUCUCUUUUUAUACAAACACAAACGCAAUUUAUACAUUUGUGUUUGUAUAGAGUGAGAAGGCGAGUGAGAGUGGCGAGCAGGAUUCUCUAGGGAGAGAGGCAAACGAAAAGAUAUAUGUUUAUAUACAGUUUUCUCUCGCUUGAACACAAACACACUUUAUAUAUUUGUACUUUUAUAAAAUUAGAGAGGCGAGGGAGAGACUGACAGCGAGAAAUCGAGAGUGGCAAGCGAGAAAUUCAGUGAGGGAGGCAAAUGACAAUUGUUUGCUACGAGUUACGAUUAAACCAGAUUGUAGUUAUAAGAUUUAAUUUGAGUUAAUAGUUUGCUAUUUAUACAAUUUUUCCAAAUAUUUUCCAUGCAAAAUAGUUUCCUAGAAAACAUUUUCUAUGCAACACAUUUUCCUAGAAAAUAUUUUCUUAGAAAAUCAAUGGAUUUCUAACUUAUUUUCUUAUGUUUGGUAGAUGAGUAGAAAAUAAUUUUUUAAUUUUUGAUUGGUGAAUGAAAAAUAUUUUUCAGAAAAUAUCUUUUAUUUUUUGCUUGAGACUAAAAAGUACGCUUAAGAAAAAUAAUUUCUAAUCUAAAAAUUAACAUCGAUAAUUGAUCUAGGACCCAACCUCAACUAGGAAAAGAACCUGAUGACCAUUCCAAAAGCCGACCAUGAGGCCUUACCCAUGAUUAAUUUUUUUCAACAACAACUUUUAAAAAACAAUAAAAAUUGACGGGGGUCGAGGGGGAGCAUAAAAAAUAUUAAUUGAAAUAUUUUUCUAGAUCAAUUUUUUUUAAAAAAAAAAUUAAUAGGGGUGGUCAAGGUGAGGGUGGCGCGUGGGCGGAUGGUAGGGGAUGUGGGUGGCGUAAAAAAUGAAUUUUUUUCAAAUUUGAAAUAUUUGCCAAAAAAUAAAAUUAACGGGAAUAGCCUGGGUUGGGGGGGGGGUGGAGGAUGGGUAGGGGUGGCGUAAAAAUGAAAAAAAUGAUAUGAAAUAUUUCUUUAAAAUAAUACAUUUUUUAAAAAGGGUUUUGAUAUAUCCCUCAACUUUGUCAUUUAGAGUUGAUAUACCCCUCGUUAUAAAGUUGACUCAUAUAUGCCCUUACCGUUAUAUAAACGGCUCACAUAUACCCCUGCCGUUACAAAAUGACUCACAUAUACCCUUCAUUUAACGGAUGUUAAAAAAUUAGUUUUAAAUUUAUAUUUAUUACUUCUAAUUUUUUUUAAAAAUGAUUUUGGGGUAUAUAUGAUUCUUCUAUCAAAGUUCAAGGUAUAUUUUAAUUUUUUUCAUACAUAAAUUAUUUUUUUGACUUCUUUUAUUAUAAUUAUUUGAGUUUCUUAUUCUUAUUUUGUUUUUUCUUUCAUUCCUUAGUUUAAAGAAAAAAAAUUAAACUAUUUUUUGUGUGUAUUGUAAUUUAAUUUCGUAUUCGAAGAAAAAAUUUGGUCAUCUACAAUAAGUUUUACAAGAAUAUUAGUGAAACAUAAAUAAAUUUGAUUAUCAAAAUAAUAAUUAUAAAUUAGUCAUUGAAACAAAAAAAGUAAAAAAAAAUAUUUGACGAGGAUUAAAUUUACUCAUAUGGGAUUAUAUUUUUAGAAAAAAAUAAUAAAAAUUUAGAUUAAGAUAAAUUUUUUGUCAUUUCCGUUAGAGGAAAAGGGUAUAUGUGAGUCAUUUGUUUACAAGCAGGGGUAUAUAUGAGUCACUUUCAUCAUAACAAGGGGUAUAUCAGCUCUAAAUGACAAAGUUGAGGGGUAUAUUAGACCCUUUUCCCUUUUAAAAAUAAUUUGUAAUUUUUUUAUUAGUUUGUUUGAGGGAGAGUGUGGUUUGGGAAUAGGGAUAAAAAUAUAUUUGAAAUUUGAAAAUAUUUUAAUUUUGUUUUUUUUUGUGUAUAUGGGGAGAGUCGGGUCGUAAUAAGAAAGAAAGUAAAGGAUGAAGUGAUGUUUGGAAAAUGUUUUCCUUACCUUAAAUUUGAGGAAAUUGAAUUGAAUUGAAAAACAUUUUUCAAAGAUUUAAGCCAACCAAACAUCAGAAAACUCAUACCAAACACACUGCGUAUUAAUCGCAAAAUUGUGGUAUGAAACAGACCACAACAGGGGAUGAUUAAACUUGACACAGAUGGAAGUUAACACUAGGCAUGGCCAGUGGCAACACUGGAGAGUUCAGCUUUGCGUUUGCUAUUCCCAUUCUGUGUAAAGAUCAUAAUGUUGUUGAAUGAGGGAAGCAAACGCAAAAUUCAACUCUCCAGUGUUGAUGAGGAAGAAUAGAACCUCUCAAAACCUCGACCUGAAGAAUAAGACUGAUGAUUUGAUAAGAAAUGCUGAUUUUUGCUUCGCUCAUUGCUACAGAGAACCAAAACAGUGGUCGAUCAUCUAUCUAAGCCAAUUAUUUUUGUAAGGUAAUUUGUAUAUUCUCCUUCUUUCUGGAUUGCCUUACGGUAAUCUCUGAUGUAUAUUUGGGGUUAAGUCCGAGUCCCCUUUUGACUAAGUUUUGAUCAGUAUUCUAAUUCCCUUUUUCUUCUGAAAAAUGUUCUGAUUCGGUCAAGAUGUUGCGUGAAUCGUGCUCUCCAAGUCAUAUUGUCAGCAUGAGAUACUUGGAGCGGGUGGAAGGACCAAAACGUUGCAUCAGAUGAUGCAGUUAAGCGUGUAUUCAAGGGAAAAUGGUCUAAAACUCGUGGAAGGACACCAAGACUGUCAUGAGGACACUACGAAAAGCUGAAUGCCUCUGUAUGUUAGUACAUUUGUGCAGAAAUGCGAUGAGGUUAGAACAGACCGAACUCACGGCAAUCUUCUUCAGCUUUAAAUGAUGGAAUCCCCACCGAAAAUGGAGGCCUUAGUACUGCUAAAAAUGAGUUUGCGUAUUAGCAAUGAUUCAGGGGAAGCACAUACAGAACUAUUAUAUACUAUGAUCGCGCUACCUUCCAUUAACUUGACUAAUCCAGAUUUGUGUAGUGUAAGGCUCGUUAAAGCCUAAAGGGAAAACGCGAGUUUCCCUCGGUUCGAUCCAAUCCAUCCCAGUUAACUCCUCAGUCUCUAGCUUUAGUGACCAAACAACAUCCAGGACAAGGGAGUCAACAAUUAACUAUUGUUUCAAUAUUGAUCAAAAAAAUCUUUGUUUUUUGCCUGUUUGCUAAGUAUACCACACACUAAAAAAAAUUUAAACUCAUAUAGAAAUGAAAGAGGAGUCAAGAAGAUAAUGAGCAUCAAUAAGUACAAGAAAUUUCAUCCUAGCUCAUUUUACAUCACCAAUUAGCACAAACAAGAAAUCCUAAACCUUAAACCCCUAAAAACAGAACUAUCGGGGCAAAAUCUGCGCAACUAUCACUGUAAUGUCAUCACGCUUGCCACCAGGACGAUAUAUCUGAGCUUUGGAGCACUCUUCAGCAUAAGGUGUAUAUACAGUUUUACUUUCUGAUUUCUGCAGGGCAUAUUCUGCAAUCUUCUGUGCUAACAUCUUCGAAAACGUUUCCAGUUUGUGCAAAUCCCCUACCCCGUCGUGUACUAAUUUCUCCAACUCAUGGUUGCGAACAUUAUCGAACAGUCCAUCUGUAGCCAUCACUAUCACAUCCCCUAUUCUUACUGUAGCAUUAAUUUCUUGUGCCACACUUGGAUCAUCUAAUUCAACACCAUUCCCUAACUGAAAGGGAUAAUUGAACCCUCUUUGCUGAAUUUCCGAUUUGUAAACUAUGACCCCGUCUCUUAUAACAACAAACCUGCUAUCUCCAACAUUGGCCGCGUGUAUAGUAUCACACGAUAAAGUCAAAAUACAAGCUGUUGACGAACCUUGACAUUUUGUGUUCAAAUAAGCUUCGUUGAGAACUUCCAUUGGGUCAAUUUUGUUCCUUUGAUCUUUCUGCUUCUGUAUCGAUAGCUCAGCAUUUCUAACCAACUGUCUCGAAUACUCUCCAGGAUCGAUACCCUUUCUUGCCCAACUACCGACGCCAUCUGCUACACCUAUGGUUUCUUCCUCUCCGCAAAUAAAAUGUGCAUCUUCCCCAAGAGGCGCUUUGUCAGAUCGUGGUAUGUAAAACGAGCCAGCCGCCAUCUUCAUCCUGAAAUUACCAUUCGGAAAACUUAAAACGUUAUUAGUACUCUCACGGCGAAAGCUUAGAUCCUUGUCUACAUCCAUCUCAUCCAUAGCCACUUGAGAAACUAGUAAAGAAGUGACAAAGACAAAUUUAUAUGAGCGGGAUUCAAAGAAAAAAAGUAGCAGAGCAAUAUCGCGCUUAGGAUUUGAACUUGUUACCUAAAGCAAUUAUUGAAUUUCCUUUUAAUUGACAGAUUUCUUCAUAUUAGGAGAAUUCACUAGUUCAUAUAAUAUAAUGAAAAGAAAUAAAACAUUUUCCAUAAUCGCGCAAAAUGACAAAACAUCUUAUGGACACUAAAUAUCACCUGAAGAUACAAGGUAAUCUCUCAGUUUCAAUUUGUUUUGACCAAUUUAACUUUGCACAGAAUUUAAGAAAAUAAAAGACUUUUGAAUUGUAUGGUAUAAAAAUAAAGAUACUUCAAAUUUACUAAAAUGUCCAUUAGUUUUGUGGUCUGAAACAUGAUAUAUGGAAAGUUAAAACUUAAAAAGGGGAAAUAAUCACUUUUUUAAAAGGACUAAAAAGGAAGGCGGGUCAAACUAAUUGACAGAUAGCAUUUGGGUGUGAAUUUCAGUUGAAACAUCCUACCCAACUGGUCCAAAUAAACAGGCCCAAAACUCAAUGUAAGCAAACCACCGGUCUAUUCCCCAACAAAUGUGGGACUCUAACACCCCGUCCACGUCCAGACCCAACUUGAGCGUGGAUUGAAAGCACAAACGAGGACGAACCUAGCUCUCGUACCAUGUAAUAGACAAUUUGUGGAGAGUAACUUAUCUCAUUACUCAAAGAUACAAUGAUAUAGAUACAUGAAGAAAAUAAGCUAACUAUGUUAACUAGAUAUUCAAAUCCCUAAAAUUCAGUAUACCAUUAUAUACAUAAUAACUAUACUGUAAAAAAAAUCAGAACAGAAGGGUUCAAUCCAGAAACUUACGUGAGAGUCAUACUGCACUUGAGCUUCUGCUAUGCAGCAGGGUCCAUGGAAGCACCGAUCACAAGGGUCUAUUGUACUAGUGUUACCUUGCAUUUCUGUGAGAGGCUAUUUUCAAUGGUUGAACCCGUGACCUCCUAGUCACAUGGCAACAAUUUUACCGGUUAUUCCAAGGCUCCCCUUCUCACAUGAGAGUGUGUAUAUUCAAAACAUGGUGGUUGGUUUAGUUAGGGAAAGCUACAUAUAUACCAAAGUUUAACAAUGAAAGGAAGGUAUCGGAAUAAGCACCGGUUCAUAUAUAACAGAUUCGAUAAACUUGCCAGAAAGAACGAUGUAUAGACUCAACGCAAUGGAGAAAGGUGAACUUCUUGGUACAUAGCAUUUUACCCCCUUAGUGCAACUAGCUGGCGCAAAUCCGGAUUAGUCUAGCUAGUGGGGUUAGGGAUAUCAGAUAGCUACAUAACUGUCUUGCAAAUAUCCCCUAAAACAAAGACAUGCUCAAAAGUUCUUUUUUUUUUGUCAUCGCUGUCUGCAAUAAGUACACUUUGAGACAAGAAUAUGACCAAAGUUCAAUAUUAUCUUCAUCCCUUUCCUGUUAAUUUACGCUCCAAUCUCCACACUUAAAGAAGAUGUUUGUCACUCAACUUGAUUUAAUUGAAAGGAGGAGAGAAUUAAAAAGAAUCUCUGACUCCGAGUUCAGAGUAACUUGAUAGUCUGGGAACAAAAACAUGCUAGUGAUCAUAUCUGUAAUCUUGACUUAGCAUUCGCAACAGCCACAAACACUUCAUAGAGCUCAAUGAGGACUAUGCAAGAUUGUUAAUAUGCAAAACAGUUACAAACCUGGAAACUAAACAAGUGAACUGAAACAUGAUUCAAGAAAUUUUUUUACCAAAGCUGAGAUAGUUACAAGAGGACCUAAAUAGAAGAACAAGUUAGUAGCACUGUCUGAGUGUCUUUGAGUAGUAGGCAAUAAAGAAGAAUAUAUAACUUCAUGAACUAAACAAAAACUUUGUAAGAGAAGUAUUAGCACUAUAGUUUAGCUUAAUCUUGUUUUCACUUUGUCCUGAAUAUUGGAACCUUUCCAGCAUUGAUGUUUUCAAGGUUUCUAAUCCUCCUCUCAAGUUUCACAAUAUCGAUCAUAUCAUUUGAACCACUCCCUUUCUCAUGGUUAUUAAUGUUUCCCAUGGCCAUAUUGCCUUCAGUUAUUUUGGUACACGUUGCUAUUACCUUCUGUGUUACCACUGAAGCUUCGCUCAUUUGUAAGGUUUUAGCUGAAUUAGUACUCAAAAGUCCUGCAUUUGGACCGUCACUUGCAAGUGCAAUACCAUCAGUCAAGUUGAGCUUGCAGCCACCUUUGUCAUUGUUAUUCUUGCUCUCUAGUGGCACCAUUUCCUUAACUACAUAUGGCCCAUCUCCAUCUUCAUCCGACUUUCCAUUUGAAGCCUCAAAUUUAUCGCUUAUUGGUUUCGAUUCCACCAGAAUCUCCCUUGCUCUGGCAGUCCCAUCAUUUGAAGCUGAAGAAGAUUGGCUUUGCAUGCUAAGGAAGAGUUUCUGAUUAUUACCAGGUACAACAACUUCUUUCUUCAUGAGUUUCCUCUUGCGUAAAGAUACAGAAAUUGGAAUAUUGUCAUCAUCUGAUGAUGAUGAUUCUAUAACUAUCAUAUCACAUUUCUGCAAAAAACCACAACACACAGAGGCAUUCAUCUUUUCGUGCUGAAUUGCAACCUCAGGUGCAACAUUUUGGUUCUUCCACCAUUCCAAGUAUCGUCUGCUGACAUCUGACUCGAUGAACCUAGAAGGUAUAUAGAGCUUGACAUCUUUAAUUGGUCUGUUAUAAUUAGUCCAAGCAAUUUUCGGGAUAUGAUCACUAGCAUGAUUCACACAAUCAGGCACAUCUUGAUCAAAUCCAAAUUGCAUUGAUACUCUAUGUGGAUUAUAUUGUUCAACACAAUCCAUUCCAACUAGUUCAGAAGCUCGAACAAGUCGAGCAAAAGUCAUGAUUUCUCUUCCAAUAUUUGGUCCAACCACCACAUAUUCAUCCCUCUCCUUGUAAAAUCUGCUGAUGUCCCAAUUCUUCACAAUAUCAAUCGCAUAAGGACGCCACAGAAAACAUUCAGCAGCGGAAUCUAUUCCACUUCUAUGAUCCACAUGAUUUAGUUUUUUCGCCUUAUGCCAUCUAGCUACUCUUGGCUCCCCAGUGUAAAUGAUACUACUAGGCUUAGGCUGCAAAUUCGUAAAUCUCUCCCAAGCCCAUAGCUGAAUAAACUGAAAAGGAGCCCGAAGGUUCGGAUUCAACUCAUCUUCUAUGCAUCUAGAAUCACUCGGCGAAUGGUUCUUAGCUGAAGAUACAAUAAACUGUUUAAGCAAACUCAUAUCCCUAUAAAUACUAGCUAAAACAGCAGGGGCAAGUGCUAUUGGAAUUCCUUGAGAAAGAUAAAUUGCAAUAGAGAAAAGAGCUCUGUCCACUUUCAGAAAGCUUCUAGCAGGAAGCACAUACCUUGACAACCAAAGGGUUAAAAAUGCAACAUGCUCCAAAUGAUCACCUCUUCCUGCAAAAUGCUCCAUCCAGGCACGGUGACGAACAAUCGUUUUACGCGCUCUAAUAUCUUUAUGAACCUCAGUAAGAGCUUUUUCAAUGUCAACAGCAUCUUUGGUCUUAACAGGUUUCAACACAGAGUGUCCUAAAACAGAGAAACCACCUAAUACCACCAUAUCCUCCAAUGUAAUAGUAGCUUCUCCCCAUGGUAAAAUGAAUGUAUUAGUCUCCAAACACCAUCUCUCAGCUAAAGCAAGAAUCAAAUCACUAUGCUUAUAAAUCAUAAAUGUUGAACCUAUAAUACCUUCAAAGACUCCAGCUUUCUUCCAUAUCUCUUGGUGUAAAGGCUUUAACUUAUUAACCCAUUUAGACCAUCCCUUCAUAUAUGAAGAACCACCCUUAAACUGAACUUUUGGUGAUGAACAAGAAAUUUUGAGUCUUGAAGGGAGAAAAGGGAGUUCUUUGGUUGUUGGUUUAAGAAAAUGAGCAACUCUAAAUAUGGGUUUCACUUCUUCAUCAAUAGAUGAAACCAUAACCUCCUCCAUUUCCUCCAUGAUUUCAACUUCUGAACAAUCCACCAUUCUUGAUUUUGAAAAAAAUUUUGUAUUUUUUCUCUUUUUACAUCAGGGUUUUCAAGAAUACAGAAGGAAAAAACAACCCAUUCUUGUGUAUUGAAUCAUACUAAAAGAAUGGGACAAAGUUUCUGAUUCUUUUUUUUAGUCUGUACUAUUUUUUUCAGUACUGAGUGAGAAAAACAAACAAAUAUGGUCCAGCUCAAAAUUCUAUUUGUAGGCAAAAACUAACAUAUAGCUGCAUUUGUAACUUUUAGCUGGACAUGCCAAAAGUUGAAAACAAACAAGCUUACCAAAAUGGGUUAUGGCGCACUGGUUUAAGUGUUUCAACCUUAACCAGACAUAUCGCUUUCGAGCCUUGGAUACAGAUAAAAUUCUGUUGGGAGCGUCAUCCUCAAAUAGGCUUUGCAAUGUUGAUCCGGACUAAGUCAAAGCUCCAAUGUGGGCUUCAAACACCGGUGGAAACUAAAAAAAAAAAACAAGCAAUAAGUUUCUUAAAGAAUGUUAAGUCUAGAAAUUUAUGAUACCUCAGAUAUUAUAAAUAAGAUGAUCAAUUCGACUGAUUUAUUAUUUAUUCGUGUUGAUGACUAUCAAAAUCAUUUAUGAUGAUAUAUGACAUACAAAAGGUAUUAUUAGAACUUAUGCUCAUUUAUUUCAAUAUUAAUAGAUGAUAAAACAAUUUCUUUCUUCCAAAAAAUAAUUAAAGGAAUUUUCAAAAAAAAUAUUUUUGUAGUGUUCAAAAAAAUUUGGAGGCAACGCAAAUUGUUUGAUUUCUAAAUUAAAUAAAAUAUUUCUCACCUAAAAUUCAUCAUAAAAAGAAGAGAUAAGUAUUAAAAUAUUUCUAAACUUAAUGUGAAUUAUUACUUUAGUCACUUAAAUUUUGUUUGAUCUUCGCGUUAAAUUGAUGUUCAUACUUUAUAAGUUAUUUUUAUUGAUAAUGUAUACUUGUUCUUAAACAAUUCAAUUAUAAGUAUUCCAAAGUGGAUAAAAACAAGAAUAUAAAGGAAUAAUAAAGUAUUUAAUGAACUUUUUAGAAAAAUGAAUUAUGGGAAUAUUAAUUUUGUUUAAGCUUCCAAAGAGAAAUUAUGUGAACACUAAGCAUGAUGAUGAUAUUAAUUAUAGGGGUAAAAUGGAAAAAGAUUGAUUAAUUUAAUCUUGAUUUAGUAAAUGAUCAUCUAGUUUGAGACAUGUAUUUUUAUCAAUUAAUAUAUAUUGGCCAGAAGGAAUAUAUGUAUCACAAUUUACUAGAUACAUAUACUAUAAAUUCGUAAAAAAAUUUUAAUAAACUAAUUAAGAGAUAAUAUUAAAAGACUAAACAUAAAGAAUAAUAUCCUUGUGAAAGGAAUUAAUUCCAUCAAAGGGAAACUUGUAGCCUCAUUUUCAUAACAGAAAAGUGUUUGGUAAGAUUUUAAAAGGUGACUUGGCCUCGAUUAAUAACUAAAAACUUCAACUUUGAAAUAUAUAUAUAUAUAUAUAUAUAUAUAUACCUCUUAACUAAAAAAGAGAGAUAAUUUUUUAAAUAAGAUUUAAAAAAUCAAAAUGAAAUGAGUAAUUACAAAGAAAACUUGCUAUAAACUCUACUUUUAAAUGAGAAGAUGAAAUUCAUCACCAAAGGAGAGAAAUAAUUAUCACAACUUUGUAAGAAAUGUAUUUUAAAAAAAAUGAUUUAUUAGACAUCAUUUUUUCAAGUUACUUAUAAGUAGAAAAAAGAAAAAGAGUGUUUUGUAGUAAACUAAAUAAGAAUAUAAGAUCACUUUAGACUUAUCGAUGCUAUCACUUGUUCACUUUAUACUUUAUACGCCUCUUAAGAAAUAAUAAUUAAUUUGAGUAUUUUACUAUAAAACACAUAUUAAUUGCUAUUACGUUGUUCCCUUCUACUCUAUUUUCUUCUUCUGAAUUUGUUGUACUUGAGCCGAUAAUUUUUCGGAAACAACCAUGUUUUGGGGUUCCUUGGGCUGAAGUUUUGGGCCAAAUGGGUCAAGAAAUUUGGACCAAAAUUGAAAUUGAUUUGGGCCUCUGGGUCAUAACUUGGUCAACAUUUGUGGCUACUUUUGUACCUAAUUUGGGCCAGAUUUAGUGUCACUUUAUUGGGCCAACUUUGAUCUUCAUUUGGGCCACCAUUAAGUCCAGUAAUCCAUGUAGGUAUUGGCCAUAAUACGACCCUAAAAUGAUACAACAAAACAUAUUUAAACACUUUUAUUAAAUAUUUAAGAUCAAAUAAUACGGUAACAAUGAUUUACAUUCUUGACUUCUUGGUGAAGAAUUAAAGUAUUUCUUUAGGAACAUAUUUACGAAAUAAAUAUAGUAAUAGUAGUAUAUUUUGAGGUGAUAUUUAAAAGGAAAAAAAUAACUGAAUCAAAACUGAUACCAAAAAGAAACCGAUAUGAAUGAGAUGGUUUUAAAAAGUCUAGUUUUGGUAAUAAAUUACCAAAGAAAUUGGAACGGUAUAAUUUUUUUUAAAAAAAUAAACAUUGAACCGUACUAUUGACAUCUCUACAUGUAGGGUUAAGAUUUGUGUACACUCUAUCUUUCUUAAACUCUACUCGUGGAAUCUCACUGGAUAUAACUUGGUUGGUAAUUUUAGAAUCCGACAAUAUCUGAUUGUGUCUCAUGUAUACUCAACAUUCAGCAAUAUAGUAAUCUUUUGGUUCAAGUUAUGAACUAUGACUUUAGCUAAUCUUCUGAAAAUUAUACGUUACAUAUUUUAUUAAUUUGAAUAUUUGAUAACUAGUUAGACCAAAAAAUAUGUAAAAUAAGUAAUUUAUAUCAGAGCCAGGUUUCGAUCCUGGGACCUGUGGGUUAUGGGCCCACCACGCUUCCGCUGCGCCACUCUGAUGAUUGUUGCUACUCUAGUUGUGUUAAAAUUAAAUUUAAACUUUCUCGGUGAUCAAUUCACAAUUCUAUGCCAAAAGCAGAGAACCCCAUAAGGGCGGUUCAAAACUGGACCGAAAUCAAUAAUUCAAAUCGAAAAAAAAUUAUUAGUUUAUUAGUAGGGGUACGCAUUCGGUAUUUCGGUUCGGUUUUGGGGUUUUUUUUGCAGUUUUUGUAAAUUGUGUACCGAAUACCGAACCGAAAUAUUUCGGUUCGGUUCGAUUUUUAUUAUUUCGGUUCGGUUUUGUUAUUUCGGUUUUUUUAAUCGGCCUGCUUAGUUGGGCUUUUAAAAAUUUACAAAUUUUUUUGUUUGAUUUUCAGCUUAAUGGGCUAAAAAUAGUUAUAUCAAAAAGUCUUUUACUUUUUAAUUUUUUAUUUUAAAUUAUAAUAUUUGUUAUUUAAUAUUAAUAAUUAAUAUAAUAUAAAUAUAUAUUAUAAUAUAAUAUAUUUCGGUAAACUGAAAUACCGAAUUACACAAAAUUACAUACCGAAAACCGAAUUGAAAUACCAAAAAAUACAAAAACAUAUACCGAAUACCGAAUCGAAAACCGAAAAACCAAAACCGAAAUACCAAAAAAAUUUGGUUCGGUACUGUGUUUCGGUUUUCCGGUGUUUAUGUCUAGCCCUAUUUAUUAGUAUUGGGUUAUUGGUUUAGUGGUUUUGGUGACGGUUUUGAUUUUUUUUUAUUAUCGGUUAUCGGUUCUCAAUGGUUUGAAGUUAUUUUUUAACGGGUUAACCGAUAAUUCCAUAAUAAAUUAAAUAAUUAUAUUUAUACAAUUUCAUAUAAAAAAAUCUCGACUUAGAGUUUAGUGUCCUACUUUUAUUUUUUGUUGUCUCAAACACUUGAUUAUUCUAUAAUGUAAAAGUAUUUGCUUUUGAGCAUGAUGUAACUUGUGAAUUCGUGUUGAUGGUUUAUUUGGAUUGUCACCUAAAAACCGAUGAAUCAAUAAGUCAAUAUCUUAAUAAUUCUAUAACGGUUUAACAUCUCUACAAAAAUAAGCCAAAUGAUAAACUUUAAAAUCUAACCGACCGGUACACAGCCCUAUCCCAUAUUCCUCUAUUUCCUUUUUUUAUGUAACUCGAACUUAUAUUCUUAUAGUUGAAAGUGGAGGAUGCUUAUUCGUGGUGUAUAUCAAUAUCAUUUCAAUACUAAUCGGAAAAAAUAAAAUAUAACUUAAGCCAAUCAACAUUGUAUAUUAACUGUUACAUAUACUAUAAAUUGAAUUCAAUGUGAAGCAGAAAUUGAUUGUAUUUCAGCUUCUUCAAUCCAUUCUGAAUUUGGUUCACUCCAUGAUCUUGGCCGAACUCCGAAUUUAAAGAAGAAAAUCAUCUCCAUCAGCUCAAAAAACUUCGAUUCGUCCAAAAUCGAGUUCCAAAUUCCACUAACAAUGCAGUAAUUGUUGUUAUACGGAACGCGAUGAUGAUCAGCGUGUUGUUCCCUCGAUACGAGUAUUCCGGCGUCUUGUAAUGCUAACACGAUUGAAGGUAACUUACUUUUCGUACCAUGAGCCCAGGAAUGAAACUGUUGGCUGAACAUAAUGCACCCUGAACAAACCCCGACGAACGCCAGAGUAGUUGGAUCGUUGCAGAAGAUAUUGAUUGGAAGGACUGUGAAUGUCACUGCUCGUGCUAAGGAAUGGAGAUUGUUAGAGAAUUCGCGUCGGGUGAUUGUCCAUGGCCAUUUAUGGUGACCUUGAAAUGCAUCAAUUUGGGCUCCGAAAACAGGGGAUUCAGCGUUGCCGUAAUUGUCAAUUCCCCAAUGGUAGAUUCCGGAAGCUAAAUCCGCUAGGAUGUAGCCGAUGCAGCUUGCUAUAAGGGGCCCGGCCCACGUAUGUGAGUCGAGUGCCCCUGCUGCAGACCGUGCUAAAGGAAUUAGCACGGUGGUGCACCCACUUGCCAUCCAGGCUCGAUGAGCCCAAGUGGAUUUUAAACUCGGGUCAUUUAAUACACUUUUCGUAUUACUCGUCUUGUUUUUUGUGAUGGGAGUGAGUGGGUCGUAAGUUAGUGGUUCUGAGACGGGUGGUGGUUUGGUGGUGAUUGUGGCAAUGUUGGACGAGGAAGAGGAGGUGGAGGAAGAGAUACAAUAGACUCGUGAAGGUAGGAGAACAUGGCGGAAGGUGCUCUUAGCUCGAUUUGUACUGGAUCUUUUCUGUAUCGUUUCAAUUUUAUCGAGGGCUCGUUGUGAGGAUCUAAUGGCAUGGUUUUGAGGUAGAAUGGAAGACAUAUUGAAGGAACUUUUAGGUUGGAUUUGCAAUCAAAAUGCCAAGAAAAAUACCAUAUAGUAUUUAUUAGGGGUAUAUUAUUUAUAUCCAUUUAUAUAUAUUGUAGUCCAAUUGAUUUGUGGUUCAAAAUUGGGAGCUAGAAGUUUUGUGGUUUCUUCUAAUUUUAUUUUAUUUUUUCAGAAAAGAAAAAAAGUUCCUUAUGAAAGAAACAAAAUAAGAAUUUUUAGUAUAUGGUCUAAAUAAGAGAUGCGUGGGACUAGAUAAGGCCAGUAGUAUUGAGAGUUAUUUUGUGUAGCACAAAAUUUUGCCAAUAAAGAAAAAACCUUUAAUUUGAGUUGUUUUUAAUCGGUAGACCUUUCACGCAUAUAUUUAUUAUUACUUGUGGACCGACAUUAAAAUAUUAUGGUGGGAUAGAUAAAAAAAUUUCGUAUUGAAUUAAAGGUUUAGUUUGAGUUUUGGAUAUAAAUUCCUUUGUUAAGCAGUGUUUCCUUCUUAGAUGAGUUAUGUGGCAUGACUGACUCUAAAUUAAUUUAAACUCCAAUAUAAAUGCGAUACGAAAAAUAAAGAAAAAUCCAUUUGAAGCAUAGAUACUUCUUGUUGUCAAUGCUAAUUAUGUACUAGACAAUCUUACUAUCAUGUGUAAUGUGAUUACAAGAGCUUAAAUCGUUAAUCAUAAGUUUUGAAAAUUAAGAUUCUAAAAAAAAUAUGUAGAGAAUAUUUCUCUCUUCAAUCACGUAAUUAUAAAUUCAAAUGAAUCAAAAUCACAAAUAAGCUCGAAUACAUCAUUUGAUAGGUUUGAUUGGUACACUAAUUAUUACAUGUUAAUUAAAAUUUUAAUCUUCGAAGCAUUAAUUUGACUAAAGGUUUAAAAUGUGUAAUAUUUAGGUGUAGUAUCUUGAAAAAGUGUAGAAUAUGUAAGUAGGAGCAGAUUCAAAAUCGCAUAAUUAUUAAUAAAAAUCAAAUGUAUUUAUUUAAAAUUACUCGGUUUUGAUCUUAUUCAUGCUAGUAAGAUAGUCGAUACAUAUGUUAAUUUUUAAGUAGAAAUUAAACAAGUUAUGAAAAAACUCUCUUGUACCUCAAUAAAACAAAUAAGUCAUUAAAAGAAUAUAGGGCAGGGAGUGAGCAAUAUAUUAUAUCACGAUAAAUACUUUUUGUUUUUAAACAUUUACAUUACAUUAUUGAAGUUUAUCUUUAUUGCUAUUCUCUCUAUUCAUGUUUAUUUAUUUAUUUAUAUUUAAUUAAACAUAUUUAUUUAAAAAUAAUAAUAAAUAAAAUAUUAAUUUUACUAUAUAUAGGUAGUUUAAAUAUUUACUCCCACAAAUAAAAGUAGAGUGGGAGUAAAAAUUAAAAUGGUCAAAUCACUUAGUUAUGAAUAAGUGAAAAAAUAUAUUUAUAAAAAUUUACAUCGCGUUUGACAUAUGAUUUGAGAUUAGGAUUAUAAUUUCAUUUUUUUAAAAUAAAAAUAUUAAUUUAAAAAAUUUCAAAUCUUAAAUUUCAAUAACUUUUAAAAUGUAAAAAUUUAAUGAAUAAGUUAUUACUUUUUAAAAAGAAAAACUUCAUGUAAAGGCUAUACUCCAUAUUAAGAGACUAUCUAUAUCACGUAAGAAAAUUAUAGGAGUAUUAAAUAAUAACUAAAGUACUUUAUUAUUAACUAAUGAAUUUUUAUAAAAAAUCAUAUCAUAAAUAUUUAUUUAUAAAAAUUUAAAAUUUUAUUACUUUCUGUUUUAAUUUAUAUGACAUAUUUAUAAUUCAAAAUUCAGAUUAAUCUAUUAUUACAGUAAAUUUUUCUUAAUUUAUUGUAACAUAUAUUAUUAUUAUAUAAUUAUAUAAUUUUUAUUUAAAAUAUUUAAUUAAAUUUAAAUUAUUUAAUUUUCGAAAAAUUAAAUACGUCCAUAAAUAAAAACUAUUAAUUGCAUAUUCAGUGGUGGUCCCGUUGACCCCCCUUAUUUAUUUAUUUUUGAAUUUUGAUAAAUGAGAUCGCUAUUUUGGCAUAUUCUCUGAGCUCAAUCUCACUCCGUUAAAACUACAUUUAUUUACGUGAUGUUUAAUUAGAGAUUUUGAGUUCUGAAAAUUUGAUAUAUUUUAAUUAUAAUAAUUUAAUUUUAAUAUGAAUAUUAAAUCGAGAGAAAAUUAUUUUUUCAGACUAAUUUUAAUUUAUAUUUGUUAGAAAAUUAUUUUUCUCAAGAGCUCUCUCCAGUCAAUUGUGAUUUAUUUGUAUUUGUGGAGAAAAGCAAAAUCAAUCAGCUCUUCAUCUGUGUUAUUUCUUGUUGCCAAACAGAAUAUUCACUGAAUAAUCUGAUUAAAAGAAAUUGUUUUUUUUUAAGCUGACACUCGCAAAAACAAACAAUCUUCAUCCAUGGCUGUAAUCUUGAAGAAUCACUGUUUAUUAAUCACUGUAUUGUUCCUCUGUUGUUUCUGUUCAUGGCGGCAGAUAAAUGGGUAUGAAUCACUGUUUCAUCCAAAAGAUAUUCUGCCGCUGUUACCAAGACAGGUAUCUUGGCCUAUUAUCAAUUCUCUUCACAGUGCCGUGGACCUAUUGCCUGCUUUUAUGGGUGCUGCUUCAGUUGAAGGGAAUAAUACAUUGGAGUGGAAAGGUGCUUGCUUUUACAAGAAUAUUGCUUGGUUACAGCUUCACAACAAAUCUAAAAGUCAAUUUGGUGGUGGUACCCUUCAUAUCAAGGUUUUCCCCCAAAUCUAAUUUUUUUCUAUUUUGUUUUCAUUUGGGUGUUGGUGUUCAAUAAAGUGAUUAGACGUAGAGUCGUGAUUUGAAGUUUAUGGGUUCUGAAAUGCUAUUUUUUAACACAUGGCUCCUAUUAGUUAUUGAUUGGGUUCGCAAUUAAAUAUAUAGACAUACUAUCCACUCGUCAACAUAAAUUUUGGAGGUGUUUAGAUGAUUAUUUUGUAAGUUAGAGUUGGAGACGAGUUGAGGCGUGUAGAUGUGCAUAAUCAAAAUUAGAGUGCUUACAUUGUCAGUUGAGGUCAAAUUUGAGUGUUUGUUUAUGGAUUAUGCCAAAUAUUAUGCUACUUACUUCACCUCUGUCCAUGUAACAAACCAGUUGCAAUAGCUAUUUUUCAAAUUUCAUUAUUGUUUUCCUGUAUCUUUAGUUGUUUUUCUUAUAUAGAAGUUCUUGUCCAUGUGCAUAUUGUAGAGUUUGGGAUGAUGUUGUGCCAAUUUUUUUUAAAAAUCAUUGGGAACUGGGACUUGGAUUACGAAAAUGUUUUCCUCUCGUUUAGUAUUUUUUUUUGAGUUGAUCUUUGGGGAGCCUUGACGCAAUGGUGGAAGUUGUCAUGGGAUUAGGAGGUCAUGCAUUUAAGCGAUGGAGAUAGACUCUUGCAGUGAUGCAAGGUAAGGCUAUGUAUAGUAGACCCAAUGCGAUCCUGGAUCCUGUAGAUAGCGGGAGCUUAGAGGUUCGGGCUGCCCUUAAUCGUAACAUGAUUCCUGGAAUUAGUUUGCUUAACGAGUCCUUGAAGCUUCUUUGAAAGUUCCUUAUGUUGUUAGAUAUCUGUUUGAUUUGGUUGCCAGAUUAAUGGAAAAAUAGUGGAAGUUAAUUAAUCUUGAUUCUUUGCUCAACUCUUCACGGGAAGCUACAAAAGUUGACUUUUAUCUCUCUAAUAUAAUUCAGUACUUACUGAAUGCUUGUGGGAAAGAGGUAUCUUUUUGAAAAAAACCCAUCCUUUGGACGCCUUUCCGUUGAUUAUAUGUUGCCUGUAUUUAGUUGCAACAAUCUCAUGCUUGGAGAAAUUGCAAAUGCAGAUGUUACUGGACCGUAUGUAAUGUAUAAUUUUUCUUCUACAUUUGGAAUGAAAAUGUUUUGGAAUGUGAAAUCUGUAUACAUGUUAGUAUGACAUGUUUCUUUUUAAUGCUUGGAUGCAAAGAGUUCCGAUUUUAGUGACAACGCUUGAUCACACUGGGGUUUUGUACUUCUUAUUUUUAUAUUUGUAUUUCUGUUACAAUAUUAUGUAGGUGAGCAAUGCACACAGUUGGACAUGUUUGGACCUUUACAUCUUUGCAACCCCAUAUCGUGUAACGUGGGAUUACUACUUUUUUUCUCGUGAACAUACCCUUGAAAUCAAAGAGUGGAAGUCUCAAGCUGAGUUAGAAUAUGUGAGUCACCAGCCUUUCAUGAAUGAUUUUCAUUGGUCAUUGAUCUAAGCGUACUUCUGUUAUAGUUUAAUGGAUCAACUUAAUUGAAACAGGUAAAAAAUAGAGGGGUGUCCAUUUUCCUAUUGCAAGCAGGAACGUUAGGAACCCUUUCAGCAAUAUGGAAUGCUUUCCCCUUGUUCGUCAAUAAUGGAUGGGGCGAGAAGUCAAAUAUUGAUUUUCUAGAGAAACAUAUGGGUGCUUCAUUUGAAGAACGUCCACAGCCGUGGGUCACAAACCUUACUACUGAUGACAUUCAUUCUGGAGAUUUUCUUGCUAUUUCAAAAAUUAGAGGUACCUGGGGCGCUUUUGAGACUUUAGAGAAAUGGGCAACGGGCUCUUAUGCUGGCCAUACUGCUGUUUGCUUGAGAGAUGCUGAAGGAAAACUAUGGGUUGGCGAAUCUGGAAAUGAUAAUGACAAGGUGGUGGAAUUUUUAAAAUAUAUUUUUCUGAUGAUGUUUAACUCGCUGUUCCCAAAUUCUUGUGUUCCUCUAUAGUCUUUAAAAAUGUUAUUGAUUAACAUCACAUUUGCUUCUCUUCCCGUAGUUUAGCACGUUAUCUAACAAAAUUAACAAUCAUCCAGACAGGAAUUUACACAUUGAGAAUUCAUUCAUAAUUCAUAGUAAAUUUCAUUGUUAAUGACUCAUUUUUGCACCAAUUUUGUUGUUUGUGCUUCCUUUCAGGGAGAAGAUGUGAUUGCUAUAUUACCAUGGGAUGAAUGGUGGGAGUUUGAGCUGACAAAAGACAACACCAAUCCACAUAUUGCAGUGCUGCCUUUGCACCCUGAUCUCCGAGCCAAGUUUAACGAGACUGCUGCUUGGGAAUAUGCACGAAGCAUGGAAGGAAAAUCUUAUGGUUACCACAACCUAAUAUUUAGCUGGAUAGACACAAUUGAUGGAAAUUACCCACCACCCGUGGAUGCUCAUCUGGUAGUGCAUGCUAUUUUUUCUCUUACCAUUUUUUUGUUUGCCCUAUUAUCUUGAAGGUGUUCCACAUAUACCCUUACUUUCUAAACCCUCUGGUUUGCGAGUAUAGUCAUCUCGGCUUAGGCUAAACUAUGUCCUAUGAAAAUAAAUAGAAAAAUCACAACAAACAGCUAACUUAAAUCUGAAUUUCGGUUGAUCAGCUAAUGCGGUAUCGCUGGGCACAUGAAGUGAAAUUUGAUGAAGCCUUGAUUUCAUACACAGACUAUUUAGCAAUCUUUGUGAGUUGCUAAUUGAAAUAAUAGAGGCCUCAAACUAUUUUAGGUCUCAUAGCUGCAGGUUUCAUGUACUGGACACUAUAUAGAUAUUCAUACAGGGGUGUUUUGAAUCUUAGUGUGAUGUUGUCAGUGAAUCCAUGGAGAUUCAUUUGACUGGUAGAAAUAUGCUACUAUGAUUCACGUGUUCCAUAUAAUUACGUAAUUAUGCAUGUGUGCUGAAGCAGUAAGUAUUUGAUUGGAUUAGUAUCUCUUGACAGCUGAAUAUAAACUUUAUUUUAAUGUAAAAAACUUAAGUACUGUAUGAUCAUUUGUGAGAUUGAAGUUAAGCUACGAAAUAUCACGUGAGACAAUUGAUAUUAGAAAGUUGUUGAUGAUGAAGGGUGAGGGAUAAUAAUAGGAACUAUGGCACUAACAAUUUACAAGAAGCAGAAAUGACAGGCAUUUUGUAGAUAAACAUGGUAGUUGUGGUACUUGGUUUUUGUGUUAUCGAUUGUAUGCUUUUGUGUUAUGAAAUUACAUGUUACUACUUUCUGUUAUCGUUGUUUACAAACAUGGCUGGGUGGUGCAGGUGGCUUCUGUCAUGACUGUUUGGAACCAAAUAGCGCCUGAAUAUGGUUCUAACUUGUGGAACGAAGCCUUAAACAAACGACUUGGAACUCAGGUUAUAUAUAAAUUUUGAUCACUUCCAUGAAAUGCCUCUUUUCAUUGAGACAAUUAGUAGACUAAAUAUUAUUGAAGCAGGUGCUAGGUAUAAUAUGUUUCUCGUUUAAUAGCUAUUUAAAGUGGAUCAAAUUCCGUAAUUACAAAGAUUGACAUAAAAUUCAAUAUUGAAUGCUGUUCCAUUUUGUUCCACGCAGAACCUUAGUCUUCCUGAUAUACUUGUUGAAGUUGAAAAGCGUGGAUCCUCUUUCGCCAAAUUGUUGGCUAUUCCAGAGCAAGAUGACUGGGUUUAUAGCGACGGCAAGUCAGCAUCAUGUGUUGCUUUUAUUCUUGAAAUGUACAAGGAAGGAGGACUAUUUGGUGAACUUGCAAACUCGAUUCAGGUUACAGAGUUCACGGUGAGUUUGUCAGAUAGAUUUUGAAGUAUUCUCAGUUUUCCUGAUUUGGUUGGUUGCUUCGGCAUUUGCCUUGGCCAUGUACUUGAUGAAUCUUAAACUACCUUUUCGCCUUUUCUGUUUAGCAUGCAUGUCUCUUCUAACAAAGUUAUCUUUCUAUGUCGGACUCCAGUUCUAGAGUUUCAGGAAUUGAUGUCGUUUAUUGUUGGAACUGCAGAUAAAAGACGCUUAUACUCUCAACCUUUUCGAAAACAAUUCAAGCCGGUUGCCUAAAUGGUGCAAUGCCGAUGACACUAUGAAGCUUCCUUUCUGUCAAAUUCGAGGUAAGUACCGUAUGGAACUACCUGGAUACAAUAGUAUGGAUCUGUACCCCCAUAUGAACGAAAGAUGUCCAUCUAUGCCUCCGAAGUACUACAGACCUCAAGGUUGUUGACGAGGUUUUCCCCAUCUUCCUCUGUAAGUAUCACAGAGGUCAGUAUUGUUGAAAACAUAAAUACGAGUCAGCUUCUUCUAACAGCUUAAGCUUUUAGACGAGAUGGUCACACACUUCACCAUCAUAUUGCAUGUAGUUUUCACUCAUCAAGCAGUUUCCGAGGGGUUGUACAAUGCCUAGGAUACACAAGCUGAGGUUGCUAUUAGCCAUUUAUGUUGCUCUUAUUCAAGAGUUUGUACAAAGUUUGACAACUUCCUUUAAUUUUUAUUUAUACUAAGUAUGUUGUUGUUAUGUAGCUUUUUGUGGAACGAAAUCGGGAAAAUGAAUCCCGAAGAAUUUGUAGCAAGUAGCACGUAAUCGUGGAAUUAAUUGAGGUGCACGUAAAUUUAUAUUUGCUUAUUUAUUCGAUUCCAAACAAGUUUGGAAAUACUCAUUUCUUUUACUGUUCACUGCAACGACCGAAGCCUUUUUGGCCAAGUGCAAGUCAAUUCCAUUUAUAUAUAAAUAACACUAUUUUAUUAUAACGACCACGAUUUAUCUGAAAUCGAUAUUUCAGUUAUAAUUUUCUAGUUGAUGUUCAAUAUCUACUUUAGAAAAUUCAUUUAUUUAUCAAGUUGUGAUUUUUCACUUAGUGUUUGUUAGUCAUAUUAAAGCAAUACUCAAUUCAAAGUCAUAUUAGAGUACCUGACAAACAAUAGUGGACGGAGGAAGUAUUAUUUUAUUAUAGCAAUUACUUACUUCGUCUCAAUUUAUGUGACACUUUUCGAAUUUCGAAAUUCAAACAGGUCUAUCUUUAAAAUAUUUUGAAUUGUCAAUCAUUAUGACUUAUAAUAUUUUUAAAAUAGUUUAUAAAUAUAUAAAUUUCAUCUCAAUUAAAAUAGAAGAUUCCUCGCGUAAAUUAUCGAUCAAACUUAAACUGUUUGACUCUAAAAAUGAAAAGUGUCAUAUAAAUUGAGACAGAAAAAGUAUGAUUUAUCUGAAAUCAAUGUUUCAAGUUAUAACUUUCUAUUUAAUAUCCAAACCAAUAUUAUUUCAAGUUACGAAAACAGUGUUUAAAGAGAGAAAAAUUCAACCAUUUCACUAUAAUUCAUGACGAUUAAAACGUCACAACAUAUAUUACAUUAUAAGUCCUUUUUUUUGGUAUUAUUUUAAUUUUAGUAUGUAUCGAACUUUUUUUUUUUCUUGAAUUUGCAUAAAAGCAAAAUUACGUGAUCAGUACUGACGAUGAUGAAAUAUUUGUUAUUAGUAUAUUCGAGGAAUUUUCUUUUCUAUCAAUUACGUAAUAUAGACGAAAACGUAAAUUGACAAAAAAAAACUAAAAACAAAGGAAAAUAAAAGAAAAGAAAAAAAAUUCCUUUUUUUUUCCAGGAUAAAAAUUAUUCUGUAUAUUGAAGCAAAAAUAUAUCCUAUUGAUUGAGAUAAAUGAAACUAAUUAAAUAAAAUAUUAUCAAAACUGAGAAAAUGACAAAAAUAGUACCUUAUAUUUAAGACUAGAGUUAAAAUAGUUUCUUUUAACUGUUUCAAUUCUAUAAUUUUAUCAAAAGUUCAGUAUUUUUAGCAUCGUCAAAUAUUUACCUGAUUUUAUCUUUAAAUUUAACUGAAAUUAUGGGAUGAAAAAUAGUUUGAAUUUGGAACUUACAUUUGUUAUCAUUUUCGGAAUUUCUAUAUUUUUUUAUUAAUCUUUAAAGUUUAGUGUAGCCUUUUGAGGUGCAAUUUGUAUUAAUUUUUUUGAUUUAUAACUUAUAACAUAGAGUUGAUCUUUUGGGUAGGGGAUAUGAUAAAGGUUGUAGCAAAUAUGAACUAUUCUGUAAUUUCAAAAAAGAUAAAAGUUACAAAGUCAAAAAUCAUAAAUGUAAACAUGUUUUUAAUUUCACCUAAACACUAGCAAACUGCUUUAAAAAUUAUUUUGAUUUAAAAGUACCUAAGAGCUAUCAGUACAUUUUAUCAUGGAGACAAAUAACAAAUAUAUUCCUGAACUAUCGUAAAUGCUAUGCAAAUAUUUUUGGGUUAAAGGUGCCCAUAUUAUCCAAAAACUAGAGCAUAUAUGUCUUCACUCCAACGGAGGACUAAAUAAGGACAUGCGACACAAUCUUAUCCGUCGAUAUGAUAUUUAUUAUAUCGGAUCGAUGAAUAAGAUUAUGAUACAUGUAUUCUCUGUUAGUAUAAAAUUUAUAUAUGUUCUAGUUUUUGGACGAUAGGACACCAAUAUCUCAAAACUAUAAUGUAUGAUGAAGGUACCUGCAUAUUAUUUACAAUAUUUUGAAGAUAUAUUUGUUCUUUUUCCCUCUAUUAUAUUGCAUAUUUUAGAAUACGCAAACUUAUUUGAUAUUUAAGACAAACCUUUGUUUUAACUUAUUUUCGUUAAAUCUCGUUUCAAUUUAUUUGUCUUAAUUUUUUUAUCAGUUCAAAAGAGAGGAUCUCUUUUGCUUUGUCAACAACGAAAUUUUUUAUGGUGAUAGAGGUUCAACCAACCAAAGUUGGGUGAGGCUCCACCCAUUUUUCGACACAUGAAUUGUGGGACCUUUCUUGAUAUAAAAGUUGAAAAAAAAAUUAAAAAAAGUAAAAAUUGUGCGUUUGACAGCAUUAAAUAUGCAUUUAUAUUUAAGAGAGAGAAGAUGAAAAAGGUUCUUGGAUUUAUUUUCUCUUUUACAAAGGAGCUGGAAUAAAAUUAAAAAUAAGUAAUAAAUAUGCACUUAUAUCUAAGAGAGAAGAUGAAAAACGUUCUUGUAUUUAUUUUCUCUUCUAGACAGGAGCUGACAAAACAUUAAAAGUAAAUAGGGGCUACAAUAUUAAAUGUUAACUUAAAUAUUUACUUAUAUCUAAGAAAGAGAAGAUGAACAAGUUUCUUUUCUCUUCUUCAAAGGACAAAAAAAAUGAAGAAUUAUCUACAUUCGAAUGUUCGAAGGAGAAAAAAAUCAGCAGUAUCUAUAAUCGUUAUAAAUUUUUCUUCAUAUUUCUUGAACUCUUUAAUACUAUCAACACAACUAAAUUAAAGGUUGCAUUAUAUUUGACAAUAAAUCUCUAUGGAUCUUCUUGCUUGCAUGUUACUUGUAAUUCAAAAUACAAAAAAAUAAUAUUUUUUUAUAUUGAUUUUUAUGCUUCAAAUAACAAAAAUUAAGAUCUGCACCAAAGAUCAAAUUGAAUUUUCUUCAAAUAUCUCUUUGUUUGAUUGUUGACUCUACAUGCAAGCUCCAAAUUGUGAAUUCAGAUUUUGAGUCAAAAAUUGAGGAAAAAUACUUGAUGAAUCUCCAUGUAACUGCAUAUUUGAUAUAGAAAUAAAACAUAUCAAGAUUAGUAUAUGUAUGAAUACAAUAAUAAACAAUGAAAAAAUUAUUUAACUAAUUAAAGAGAGAACAAACCUCAAAACUUAAUCUCAUAGAUUCAUGUUGUAUUUGUUGCAUUGAGACUGAUUACAUGUCAAAAUUUACUGUUUUUUCAUGUUUUUGUCCUGUUUUGCUUUUAAAUGUUACCUGUAAUGUCUUUUUUCUUUUUUUUUUCUCACCUUUUGGCUUCAUUCUUGAAUAUCCAUUUCCCUUUCCUUUUUUUCUUAAUUGGAUCCAAUAUUCGAUCCUUGGCCCCAAUUAAAGGAUCAACGGAUGAAUCAAAUUUGUGUCUGUUUUUGUUACAAUUUUCACCAUACAGUUCACUUUGAUGCUUUGUAAUCUCAACUCUUGCUUGGUAUAAAUAUCUUCUAGCAAUUUCUUCCGAAUCUAUAUCAUUUGCAGCUAAUGUCAUGACAGUAAAUGAUUCUUUCAUUAACCCGUUCAAACGCACUGCCAUAGAAGAUUUUGUUGUCCCCUUCUUUUUGGAGUACUCCGCAAAUCCUUUCUCAUGCUUAACAUUCUUAGAUCAUCUUUUCAAAAUGUAUUUCUCCGAAAUAGAAGUAAAAUUCAAGUCAAAGAACAAAACUUUAAGUGCAUGACAACAUAACCAACCCAUGGAUUCAAACAUAUGACAACUACAAAUAAUAGAAUUGCCAAGAGCAUUGAAUUGAACAAUUUCAGUAUUUUCACUUUCACCUUUUAAAAUUAUAUAUUUUGUUAGACUCCCUUCAGUUUCAACAUUGAUUGCUCUUUUGGUUGUCCCUUGUAGAAAUUCAUGUUGAAAUCUUGUGUAAAUUCUCCUGGUAUACACCCUAGCAACAUGCUUUAAUAUCCCACAAUCUUCAAUGAAAAUUUUAGGAUCACCUCGAGAUUUAUAAUCCUCUAUAGCUUCAAUGUCACGCAUUUCAAUUGUCCGUUGCUCAUAAUGCUUUACAAACUCCGUUAUACUCAUGUCUUGCAUGACAUUUCAGUGAAGACUCUAUUUGUGCUCUCACUUCUUUGGGUCGAUUUGAUAUUUGCUGGGAAAGUAGAACGGCUAAAUACAGGACACCAUUUUUUUCUCAGAUCAUACAACUUUUGAAGCCAAGUAUUACUUGCACAAUCCCAAUCAUCUAUCAUUUUUUUCCAUAUUAACUCAAAUUCUGAUUCUAAAUUGCACCUCCACAAGAAAGUAUUAAAGCAGUAUCGAAAUCCUGAUUUAAAAUAAAGUUGCGGUAUAUUUUUUUGAGCAUUUCUAUCAAUGUGCCAUUCACACAAUCUAUGACAUGUUCCAGGAAAAACUUCCUUAAUAGCAAAAGUUAUGGCAGGAGCUUGAUCAGUAAAGAUUAUUUUUGGUGUUUUCCUCCCAUUGCUUUCAGGAAUGUUUGAAAAAGCCAAACAAAAGAAUCACUUGUUUCAUUGCGUAAAAAUGCACAUCCAAAGAAAGUACUUUUUCAGUGGUUAUUCACACCGAUAAAUGGAGCACAAAUCAUGUCAUAUCUAUUUGUAUAAUAAGUAGUGUCAAAAAUCAUCACAUCUCCAAAACACUCGUAGUGCAAUUUAGAUAUACUAUCUCUCCAGAAGAAAUUACACAAUCUGCCAUCUUCAUCAACUUGAAAAGAAUAAAAAAAGUUUGAAUCCUCUGAUUGUAAAUGCAUAAAAUGAUUUAUCAUGGUUUGAGCAUCUCCACCACUUAUCAUAUUCCUUUUAUGUGCUUGUAUAAAGUUAUGAGCAUCUUGUUCAAUAAAUCCCGCAUUUUCAAUUUCAGCUUCGUUAUGAAAGCAUCUAACCAUUUUUUUGUUCGAAUACUGACAUCCACCAUAGAACCAAGAAUACUUUUAGUAGCACUUGUAAGCUUACGACCCGAUUGUAUGAAAUGUUUCAAAUUAUCUUCUAUCAUUGGAUGACUAUGCACAUCAUUGAAUUCACAUACUUCCCACAACCCAUUUGAAAUUUUGAAUUUUAUACGAGCCAUACAACCACAUCUAUAUUCUAAUCUCUGUCGUUUUCUUUCUUUAAAAAGAGAGCUAAUCAGAUUUUCCUUCACAAGCACAAAGAAAUAACCGUCUAGUUACUUCUUUAUUUAAGUUGUAAGUCUUUGCAUUUUUUCGAACGCCAAAACCUUUGGCUAGAGCAUAUGAAUUAUAUGCAUUGUAAGAUUCUUCUUUAGAAUUAAAUUUCAUACCAAUCUCAAAAGCAAAGUUCUUGUUAAUGCUAUAAACAUUGUUUGCUUUUGUAUCGUUGUUAUUAACAUUGGAAUCUACAAUAAUAAUUUUAUUUUUUGAGUAUCAAAACUUAAGAAAUAGAUAAAAUUAUAAACAUUUACUUAAUAGAGAACCUUCACACUCGAAUUAAGAAAAUAUCAUAUAAAUAAAGUGUAUUAUCUUCUUGAAGAGAAGACCCUUUAUCAAUAUGUAUGUCCUCCAUUUUUUAAAAUUUAAAGCAAAAUCUGCACAAGAAACAAAUUAUAUUAUUAAGAAAUUAUAUUUUUCAAAUAUUACCUUAGCACAUAAAAAUACUAAAACAUGUCUUUUAUUUUACUAUACAUUUCAAAUUUAAUUUAAUAUUAUGUGAUCACCAUUAAAUUUGAAUGCAAAAUUUCUUGAUAUUACUAAUACUAAUAUUUCUUAUGGCAGGAACUUUCUACCACGCAUGAAGAUCAUUUAAGACAACAAUGAAUGACGCACAAAAGUUUACAUAGAUAAUUUUUGUCACACAAUCUUGAGCAUUUUGAACAAGAUAUGUAAUAUUCUAUUUUCAAGAUAUGUAUUAAAAUAUGUUUAUCUAUAUGUAUAAUGAGGAUUAUCAAUAAACAACUUUUCAUUCUAUUUAAAGCUUUAGUAAAAAAAUGUAAUAUCAUUGAAUAAAUAUGUAUUUUAAUUAUUUUUAUUUUGUUUCAUUUGACUUUAUUUUCAAAGUACACAUAUUGACCCAUAAUCGAUAUAUCGAAAAAUAGAUGAAGCCUCGCUCAACUUUAAUUGGUUGGAUCUCUACCGCGAUAAAAUUUUUCAUCAACAACCAAAAAAAAAAAGUAUUUCAAUGUACGUAUGCUCAAACGACCUUUUUGUCAUUUUCUCCUGAAUAUACCGAAAUAAAUAAAACUGGAAAAGAUCUUCACGUAAGCAAAUUUUCAUAUAAAAUGGUGAAAAAAUCCAUUUUCUAUGAGCUCUAGAGUCCCAACAAUUUUCUUGAUAUUGAACAAACGGAGCUUCCAUUGAAGACUUCCAUGGCUGUAAUCUUGAAAAAUCACAGCUUUAUCACUUUCUUGUUUCUUUUUCAGUUUGUUUCAUGGCAGAUUCAUGGGUUUAAAACACCAUUUCAUCCAAAAGAUGUUUUGCCUUUAUUACCAAGACAAGUUUCAUGGCCUAUACUAAACUCCCUUUACAGUGCAGUAGAUAUUCUGCCCUCUUUUGUUGGGGGUGCUUCAAUUGAAGGGAAUAAUACAUUGGAGUGGAAAGGUGCUUGCUUUUUCAAGAAUAUUGCUUGGUUGGAGCUUCACAACAAAUCUAAAAGUCAAUUUGGUGGAGGAACCCUUCAUAUCAAGGUUUUCCCCAAAUCUAUUUAGCUAUUUGUUCAAGUACUUACUUUAAAAAUGAUAUAUUUGGGGGUAAGAGUAGGGGUAGGGGAAGGGGAUUACAAGAUGGGGAAUUGAAUCUUUCACCAGGGUGAAAGUUUAGCUUGUCAAUCAACUGAGUUAUUAAGAUUUUCUGUUCAAGUAACUAAUUUGCUAUUGCUAUUUUUCGAAAUUUCAUAUUGUUUUGUUGUAUCUUUAAUCGUUUUUCUUAUGUAGAAGUUCUUGGAUAUGUGUUUAUUGAUUGAGUGCAACCUUAUACCAAAGAAGAGUUUUUUGAUAGUUAUAGCUUAUAAGUCAAUAUGGUUCUUUAUUGGGGAGGUUGGGAACUAAGGCGGAUCCAAGAUUUGAAUUUUAUGGGUCCCCUAACGACUCAAGUUAAUAUACAGUAAUAACUAGGUUCAUGGUCAAAUAUUUAUGGAUAUUUGGUGGAUUUCUUGUUACAAAUGCAGGGCUUUGGCAAAAGUUAUUGGGCUCACAUGAACUCGUAAUAGUACCGUAGAUCUAUACUUCAUUUUGUUCCUUUUUGUAAAUUGGAUGUGAAAAAUGAAACCUUUUUACUUGUUUUUUUUAGUAUUUUUUUGUUAAGAUUAGUUGUUAAAGUUACACUUAAGUAUAUCGUGUUCACCAGUAGACUUAUAGUCUGGUUAGAGACUUGUAUAAAUAUGAGAUCCUCUUGAUUUAGAGAAGAGAAAUCGAUAAUUUGCCUUGAAAUACAGAUGGAGCGGAAUGGAUGUAGAGGAUUUAUAUAGCUGCACACAAUUAGGUGGGAUUGAGACAUAGUUGAUUGAUUCAUUGAUUGUGCUUAGUAUAUUUUCUUUUUGAGUACAUUUACGGGGAAUAUUGAUCUUGGUGAUUCGCUGCUGGUCCUGGUUAUCCUUUGCUAUGUGAUAUCUCUUGAUUGGUAGCCUAGAUGUGGAAAAAUAGGUGGAAGUAAACAUAAUCUUGAUUCUUUGCUCUACUCCUCUUCGUGGGGAACUCCAAAAGCUGACUUGUAUCUGAUUAAUGUUAUUCACUGAAACUUUUCCCCCCGUGUGGAUGAGAGGCAUCUUUUUACGGAAUCCCAGUCUUUGCAUUGACUAUAUGUAGGUAAAAUUUAGUUGAAUUGUAGCUCAGCUAUGUUGGAAACCAAUGUUAUGGUGUUUGUUGAGAGUGGAAACAUUUUGGAAGGCUAAAUCUGUAUGCAUUAUUAAUAAUGAUUAUUUGUUUUCGGCAUAGUAUAUGGGAUUGGGUAUUGAUGAAAAUUAUAAAUUGUAUUUUUUACUUGCUUUAUAAUUCUUUUGUGCCUUCUUUUCCAACGUUUGGAUGGAAAGACUUCCCAUUAUAGUGUCAAUGCGUUAUCAGUGGGAUUCUUUUACUUCUCCAUAUAUCAAUGUUUGUAUUCAAAUUAAAAUAUUUUGCAGGUGAGCAAUGCACACAGUUGGACAUGUAUGGACCUUUACGUCUUUGCAACCCCAUAUCGUGUAACAUGGGACUACUACGUAUUGUCUCGUGAACAUACUCUUGAAAUCAAAGAGUGGGAGUCUCAGGCUGAGUUAGAAUAUGUGAGUCCUUAUCAUUUCUUAAAUGAAGUUAGAAGGGCACUAAUUUAAGCAUAAUUCAUGAUACUAAUGGAUUUUUGUUUCUAACAGGUCAAACAUAAAGGUAUCUCAAUUUUCCUAAUGCAAGCAGGAAUGUUAGGAACCCUUUCAGCACUAUGGGAUGUUCUUCCUUUGUUCUCUAAUACUUUAUGGGGUGAGAACUCAAAUAUUGGUUUUCUCAAGAAACAUAUGGGUACUUCAUUUGAAAAACGUCCGCAGCCAUGGGUUACCAACCUUACUAAUACUGAUGACAUACAUUCUGGAGAUUUUCUUGCAUUAUCAAAAAUCAGAGGUCGCUGGGGUGCUUUUGAGACUUUAGAGAAAUGGGUAUCGGGAGCUUAUGCUGGCCAUUCUGCUGUUUGCUUGAGAGACUCUGAAGGAAAACUAUGGGUUGGCGAAUCUGGAAAUGAGAAUGAUAAGGUAGAGUCCUAAACUAUUAUGUUUUCACAUUAUGUUAUUAUUUGGUGUUUACUCUUUCUUAUAUUGGGGAGCAAGGGCAAUAUCUGCUACACAAUAAAGAAAUUGAAGAUUAGAAGGAGAAUUGUGAUAGAGAGAAUAUUAUCUCAUCUCUUUUCAUACGAACGGCAAUGUCUGCUACGGAAUAGAGAAAUUGAAGAUUAGAAAGAGAAUUGUGAUAGAGAAUAUUAUCUCAUCUCUUUUCGUACUUUCUUGUUCAUGUUCCUUAAAAACUUCAAGAUUUAUGUUUAGGGAAUUCUGGAUUUUUGACAAAGUAAUAAGGAGCAUUGAUAGCGAAUCAAACUUUUAGGGAAUAAAGGGCUCUAUCUCAAAUGAAUAAAAAAGAAAGAGAUAAAAGUGAUACACGUUGGAACAAUUAAUUUAAGGGAUUAAAGUGACAUUCAAAUCAGCAAACUUUAGGAAAAAAACAUCUCAAGUUUGUGAUUGUGGUCUCGCAAGCCUUAAGCGACACUUUUUGUGGCGUAUACAGCUAUAGAUAUCAGUAUGAUUAUUACAAAUUUUUUGAUAAGGCUAUGAAUAUUACAACGUUGACUUCAAAUAUCACGUUGUAUGAGUAUCAUAUUAAAAGGUAUGAUCCUCAUUCAACAGUUGCAUAAACUUAAAGCGCAACUAACUAGAUUGCAACUUGUGGACAUGCAAUAGAGACAUAUCCAACGCAUUAACAAAUAGAAAGGGAGGUCUGUUUGCUGUGGUUCUGGGUAUUUGACUCAGCCCAGGCACCUUGGGGGAGGUUGAAGAUUAAGAAAAUUUUUAUGCAUGAAUGACCAUAUAUUUGAUAACGAAAUCUCUAUAUCAUAUUUGCACCAAUUUUAUUCUUCACAUUUCCUUUCAGGGAGAAGAUGUUAUUGCUAUAUUGCCUUGGGAAGAAUGGUGGGAGUUUGAGGUGAAAAAAGAUGAUUCCAAUCCACAUAUUGCGUUGCUGCCUUUGCACCCUGACCUCCGUGCCAAGUUUAAUGAAACUGCUGCUUGGGAAUAUGCAAAAAGCAUGGCAGGCAUGCCUUAUGGUUACCACAACUUAAUAUUUAGCUGGAUAGACACAAUUGAUGGAAAUUACCCCUCACCCUUGGAUGCUAAUCUGGUAAUGCAUAUUAUUUUACAGUACAGUCUUGCCAAUUUUGUGCUUACAGCAUUAUAUGAAGCUGCUUGCUUUCAUACGGUCCUCUACUUCCUGAUUCCUCUGGUUUGUGACUAUACUCAGCUGUUCUUUGCUGGAUUAUGUCCUCACAAAUAAACAAAAUAAUUACUAAUAGAGGGUAACAUAGACCUCAGCAUAUUUAGUUGCUCUGCUAGUGAAAUAAUAUUGUUGGACAUGAAGUAAAAUUGGGUAAACGCAUGCAUUUCACACACUGGUUUCAUGUAUCAAACAGUAUCAAAAUUUCCAUAAGGGUAAUAUCCAUUUGAAUUUUGACUUGAUUUUAUCAUCAGUUUCUUCUCACAGAGCUUCAUUUCACUGCUAUUAACUAUCUAUAAUGAGUCUAGUGUUGCAUAGAACUCCACAAAGUAUGCAUGUGAAACUUAAGCAGUAAAUAGAUGAUCGGUUAAUAUUUCGUGUCUCGUGAGAGCUAAAAUAGUAUUUUGGUGUAAGAAACUUGAAGCACCAUAGAGUCGUGAAUGAGCUUGAAAUUACUCUUUGUGAUAUGAGAUAGGCAGUUUGAAUCAGAAAUUAGGAGGAUGAAGGGUGAGGAGUGGGAAGAGACGAUAACGACAUUAAGCAAGUAGAAAUGCCAGGCGUUAUAGAUAAAGUGGACCAUGUGGCACUUGGUUUUUGUAUGUUCAAUAAUUGCUACUGUAUUCCUGCAAAUUGGAAGUGGCAGAGUGGCCUUGGUACCACGCUGCACUGAGAUUCAGCCAUUAGUCGCUCUCCUAUUCAUAUUUUUUUUAAAAAAAUAAAAAGAUUCCUGCCAAUUAAAAAUUAACGUGUUACUUUAUAAAAUUGUUGCUGAUGUUUAAGUGAUGUGUGGUGCAGGUUGCUUCUGUCAUGACUGUUUGGAACCACCUUCAGCCUGCAUAUGCUGCGAACAUGUGGAAUGAAGCCUUGAACAAGCGACUCGGAACUAAGGUUAUGUUUUUGUAUAAUCACAUUCAUGAGAUGCUUCUGUUUUUUGAGAUAAAAACGGUGGAUAAUACACUAUUUAAGCAGCUGAUUGAGUAACUAAUUUAAAUAUCAGAAUACUGUAUUUACAGAGAUUGAUGGCAUAAAGCCAUUGUUAUACUGAAAAUAUACUGUGCUUUGUGAACUCUCAUAUAUCUCAAGCGAAACUAAGUUAGUGUAGACCUCUAUGACUGACUUGACAUAUACUACAUGCUGAUCUAUAUUGUUCCAUGCAGAACCUUAGUCUUCCUGAUAUUCUUGUGGAAGUUGAAAAGCGUGGAUUCUCUUUUGCCAAAUUGUUGGCUAUUCCAGAGAAGGAUGAUUGGGUUUAUAGUGAUGGAAAGUCGACAUCAUGUGUUGCUUUUAUUCUUGAGAUGUACAAGGAAGCAGGGCUAUUUGGUGAAUUUGCAAGCUCAAUUCAGGUUACAGAAUUCACGGUGAGUUGGUUUCCAGGACAUUUGCAUGAUCUGUACUUAGAUGAAUCUAAAACUGCUUUUCCUUUUCUCUUGGUUGCCUUUUUGUGGAUGGCGGGUGUUCUUUUUGUUGGGGGUGGGGAGUUUCAAAUGUUUGUAUAUGUAGUGAGGUAUCUUGCACUCGUUCUUCCUAUUAUUCUUCACAUUCCUACUAAAUACUCCCGUUGUCCCAAUUUAUGUGACACUUUCCUAUAUAGUCAAUCCCAAGAUGAAUGACAUAUUUCCUUAUGUGGCAAAUGUUUAUUGAUACUAUUUUACUCAUGUUGGGUCCCACUUAUUUGGGAAAAUGUCGACAGAAGUGUAUUCGUCUAUUUAAAAAUUCAUUUAUUUUAGGGGUAUUUUGAACAUUGCAAAGUCUUUCCAGUAUUUCUUAAACUCUGUAUCCAUUCAAACUACAUCACGUAAAUUGGGAUGGAGGGAGUACAUGUUUUCAGCAAUCCUUGCUACAAUUCUGUAUUAGUUCCAAAUAAGCUGGUGUACGCAUUGUUUGGGUUGUCUAAAGUUCAAACAUUGUGUCCAUUGUCCACUUCCCUAAAAUAGGAAGUUUUUUACUGUACUCUUGCAUACGUUUCAGUAUCUUAGUGCCAAAAAAUGUGGAAGUUAGGAACCAAAUUUUAAACCAGAAGUAUUACAAUUCUUGGAAAGUUAUCCAAUCCUCUAUCUUAAUAUUGCUCAUGUUUGUGAAACUAUUGCAUCAUUCUUUUAUCAUUCAGAAAAAAGAAAAUUACAAUUCUUGCACUACUUGUUUGCUGCUGACCCUGAGGUCUAAUGGGUCAUCUAAUUGAAAAGCACAUGGAAGUAUCAUGUUGGAUUCAACUUUCUGGAGUUCGAAAAGUGACAUAUUUAUUGCUGGGAUUGCAGAUUAAAGAUGCUUACUCUCUCAAGUUUUUCGAGAACAAUUCAAGCCGGUUGCCAAAGUGGUGCAAUGCAGAUGAUAAUGUGAGCCUUCCUUUCUGUCAAAUUCGAGGAGAGUACCGGAUGGAACUACCUGAAUACAAUAGUAUAGAUCCGUACCCCCAUAUGAAUGAAAGAUGCCCAUCUAUGCCUCCGAAAUAUUUCAGACCACAAAGUUGUUGACAACGGCUUUCCUAUCAUCCUCGUAAUCUCAGAGGUUAGAAGCAUAUAGUUUUUCACUCAUCAGUUCUCAGGUUGUAUACUUGUAGUACAAUAUCCUAGAAUGCACAAGGUUGCUGAUGACUAUAUACAUAUAUGUUGCUCUUAUCUAAUAGUUUGUACAAAGUUUGGUGUUACACAUCCUGAUCAAUGUUGCACAGGACAGAAUCCUAGCUUGACAAGUUCCACAUUUUAAUUCAGAUUUAUACUUAAUGAGCUUGGGAUAAAUGAAUCCAAAAGAACUUGUAUAUAUGGAAAAGAGUUGGUAUUCUAAGUGGAUGUUAAUUAUUUUUUCUGCCUUUGUAACUUAAGAUAUCUACACUCAAUUUUUCUAUAGUAAAGUUGUUUCAGUGCCAACCUCAAAAUUUUGACAAAUUACCCAAGAAUCAAUUACAUAACAUGAAAGGACUAACAAGUGCUCAAAUAUGCCCAUGAAAAGUUUCAUCUUUCCUGCUCUCGUUUCUCUAUUCCAUUUUUCAAACUGCUUGGAGAUGCUUUGUUGUAAGUUGGGGUCUAUUGAAAAUAGCCUCUCUAACCCUACGAGGUAGGGUUAAGGUCGGUCUACACUAUCCUCCUCAUACCCCACUUGUGGGAUUACACUGGGUAUGUUUGGAAAAUUUCAUCUUUCCUACUCAUUUCUGAAUUCCAUUUUACAAACUGCUUGGAAAUGCUUUAUAUAAGCCGAGGGUCAACUGAAAAUAGCCUCUCUAUCUCUACGAGGUAAAGUUAAGGUUUGCAUACACUCUACUCUCCUCGGACCCCACGGAAAAUUUUAUCUUUUACAUCCAACUUUUAGUUUUCAAGUUUCAGUAAACAAAAGUUGUAUAACUUUAAGCUUCAUAGGAAAAAGAAGAAGUUAUAUAACUUUUGAGCUGUAAUAGCUAAAUCUAGAGAAAAGAAGAAUUGUGCUUAUGCAUGUUGAAGUUCCAAUUUCUCAUAUCUAAUUUUUAGCCCUUUUAACUUUCAAAUAUAAAGUUUCAAUAAUCGCGGCUGGAUUGUCAGGCCUUAAAAGUGUACAUCUUUUGACAUGAAUACAUCAUAAUAUAGUGAGUAUUCCCCUUAGGAGAUUCAAAUUUGAUGUCAAACCCAGUCUAGUUUUAGUGUACUUUUAACAGCAAUGUAUCAUAAUAUGGAGUCUUGAGGUUGACAAAACUCACUUCCUGUUGAAGAAGAAUGUGUGAUUGUAUGAUUGAAUUCAUUGAAUUAUAGAGGUUUCCUGGGAACGAUUUGGAUGGGAAGUCCUUGAGUUGGUACAGGCAUUGGGUCCCUGCUGAAGAAAUCAUCUGUACAGCAUAGCUUCCAUGUGAAAUGUGUUACUAGGUAAUGGAUUGUGACCAAGGUUUCAAUCUUCGCAAACUCGUAUCCAGGACAUAUACGGGUUCCCCCUCCGAAUGGAACAAAGUUGUAAGGAGGCAAAGAUGCUGAGUUCUCAAAACGUGCUGGAUCAAAUUUCUCUGGUUCUUGGAAAAUGCUGCUAUCCAUAUGUGUCUUAGUCGUUACCCAGAAUAUCUAUGUGCAACCAUGAGCAGUGGUCAAAUUUGGGUUAUGGCAAUAAGAAGAUUACUGAGUACUACCAAAUUAACAGAUUGAAGAAUGGAGAUCAAAGAUGGGAAUUCUGAUCUUACUUGCCAUCCUUUCGGAAUGAGGUAGCCACCAUACUCAAUGUCUUUUACAGUCUGCCUGAAGUUUCCGAAAAUGGGAGGGAACAUUCUCAUUGUCUCCAUUGCCACUCUCCAUGUGUAUUUCAUCUUGCCAAGGUCUUCCCAAGUUAGGGACUCUCCAGGUGACUUGGUCUCUGCUAUCUCUUCUUGUUCUGUGUUCCCUCCCACAAGCUUAUUUAGAAGAAACCCAAAAGAUAGAGUGACUGGAGUCUGAAUGAAGUUCAGAAGAGUUCUUACCUUUAAGGACAGCUGUGUAGAUGUUUGGAUACUUUGCUAAAAGUCUUACGAUGAAAGUUAUCAAGACAGAUGAAGUGUCAUAUCCAGCAACCAUUAUGAGCAUGACGUUGUGAAUGAUCUCAGUUUCAGAUAUGAGUUCUUGGUUGUUCUCUCCACGGAUGCUGAGCAAACAGGUGAUGAGAUCCUGAUGGGAUGAAGCCAAGUUGUUGUCAAACUCAUGGUGUUUCUCAGAAACAAGCUGUUUCAGCAUUUUCUGGACAUCUUUGCUUGCCUUGAGGCUGCAAUUGAAGCGCGUAAAAGGCAAGUUUAUAGGGAUUGACCAAAUUCCUUCUAUCAUCUGCUGGAAAUAAUGAAUCAUUUGGUCUCUUUGAGCUCCACGUUCAAGCCCGAAAAGGAGAGAGCAAAUAAUGUUGAAGGUGAGUGUCUUCAUCAAAGGUAAUACCUAUCAUCAACACAAAAGUUAGUUGUAAAUGUCUUAGGUUACAUGCAAAAAUAGUGUGUGUGUGGGGUGGGGGAGGGGGGUUGGGGUGGGGGGUUGGGGGUGGGGUGGGGUGGGGUGGGGGAGGGGGAUGACAAACCUUAAUUAUUUGCUUGUCUUUCCAGUAAGUCUCGACAUGGAUUCUGACUUCUUCUUCCAUCUUUCCAACAUAACGCUUAAGACAAUCUGGCUUCAAGAACGAUACCAGGGCAUCUCUAACCCGUUUAUGAUCUUCACCAUUGAGUUCCAAAAGGCAACGAUUGCCCAGAAUCAUCUUGACUGACUGUGGCUGCUGAUUAGUGAGGACAGAGCAAUCACUGGUAAAUACAAACUUGUUAGCAGCCUGUCCAUAAAUGAAUACAGUGGGCUUGCCAAAGAGGCUUAGCUUUGAGAUAGGACCAUAUCUCUGUACUCUUUCUUCAAGCCAUUUCUCUGCUGUGUUGGCUUUCAUUGCCCUUAGCAUCCCAAAACUUUGACCGAUGAUCGGAAAUCCAAGGGAUCCUGGUGGAACCCUCGUCAAUGAUCUCCUCCUCCGAACAAGGAGGAGGAAUACCGGGAGUAGAAAUAGGAAAAUAGUUACUAUAAAGUUCAUGAUUGAAGGUAUAAAGGUAAUGAGCUUAGGAAGUAGAAGUAUUUUAUAUAAUUUUCUUGUGUUGUUAACUUUGUUGGUUUCUGGAAAAGUAUCUCAGCUCCAGUAUGGUAUCUUAUAACACAAAUAUGCCAUAUCUAGAGAUACCAAACUAUACUUUUCAGUAAUUAUGGUAUAAGCCACAUCUAGAUAUGCCAAACUAUACUUUCCAGUGAUUGUGGUAUAUACCACAUAGAGAUAUACCAAACUAUACUUUAACUCGACCAACAUGUCGUACAGGAAGAGUGUUGGUAAAUAGGACAAUUGUGGUUUAUUUUAUAAUUGAAAACAAGUAGUGCAGAGUCCAAAUCAAUCAUGUCAUGAUAAUGGUGAUGAUCUUUACAUCUGAUAAUUUAUUUGAUAAAUUGAUACAACAUAGGUACUUUGUCCAGUACUCUGGUACUUGUGUUGGUGGGAGAUAGUAGGUAUCUAAUUGAAUAGUCAAGGUGUGCACAAGUUGUUUCGGACAUUAUCUUUUUCUUUUUGUGUUUGAAAAUAAAUAAUCAUGAUCCAAUAAUUGUUUUGUUAGAUUGAUACACCAUGAAAAAGCAAAGUCAAGUGUAUCACAAAACUAUAGUUAAAAACUCGAAAAAGCAAUCCCAUUGUAUUCAAUAAAAGUACAUUUUCAGCCGGCUGUAUACACCAAUUCAUAAGUUUUUACAUCUACUAAAUCAUGGUUAUAAAAAGACAAAAAGAUACAAAGACUUUGAUUGUCGAGGUGCACAAAAUUUGAAAAUAGAGAAUAAAUAUGCCAUCAACCUCACAUAAUAGGUACAAAAACUUUUUGAUAGUCGAGGUGACUCGAAUAUCAUGGUUAUAAAAAGACAAACAGAUACAAAGACUUUGCUAGUCGAGAUGCCCACAAGUUGGCUAUGAUAUUACGAUUACUAAAAAAAACAAAGCCUUCUCAUUAGUUGAUGUGCUCAAGCUAAAGCUUAAAUACCAUAAAGUUACUAAAUAGUUGAAAGACAAAGGGAAAAACCUUAUGAGUUGAGUGAUAUAAUACACUUCAACUUAUCGCAUAAUAUUCCUCUUAUGAGUCUUAAGGUUUACGAAGUCUGCUGCCUCUUUGAGAAGAUUGUAGGAUUGAAUUUUUUGAACUAGAGAGGCUUCCUGGGAAUUAUUUGAAUGGGAAAUCCUUGAGUUGGUACUGGCAUUGGGUCCCUGCUGAAGAAAUCGUCUGUACAGUAUAGGUUCCAUGUGAAAUGUGUUAUUAGGUAAUGGAUUGUGACCAAAGUUUCAAUCUUUGCAAACUCGUAUCCAGGACAUAUACGGGGCUCCCCCUCCAAAAGGAACAAAGUUGUAAGGAGGCAAAGAUGCUGUGUUCUGCUGGAUCAAAUUUCUCUGCUUCUUUGAAAAAUGCAGCUAUUCAUGUGUGUUUUAGCCGUUACCCAGAAUAUAUAUAUGCAGCCAUUAAGCAGCGGUUAAAUUUGGAUUACGCCAAUCAGAAAAAGACUGAGUACCACCAAAAUUAACAGGUUGAAGACUGGAAAAUCAAAGAUGGGGAUUUUGAUCUUACUAGCCAUCCUUUUGGAAUGAGGUUGCCUCCGUACUCGAUGUCCUUUACAGUCUGCCUGAAGCCUCCAAAAAUGGGAGGGAACGGUCUCAUUGUCUCCAUGGCCACUCUCCAGGUGUAUUUCAUAUUGCCAAGGUCUUCCCAAGUGAGUGACUCUGUGCAAUACCUUCCUGGUCUGCAUUCCCACAACUUAUUUAGAAGAAACCCGAAAGAUAAGAGUAACUCCAGUCUGAAUGAAAUUCAGAGGCAGUCUUACCUUUAAGGAAAGCUGCAUGAAUGUUUGGAUUCUUUGCUAAAACUCUAACCAUGAAAGUUAUCAAGACAGAUGAAGUUUCAUAUCCGGCAACCAUGAUGAGCAUGACAUUGUGAAUGAUUUCAUUUUCAGACACGAGUUCUUGUUUAUUCUCUCCAGGGAUGCUGCGCAAGCAGGUGAUGAGGUCCUGGUGGAAUGAAGCUAAGUUGCUGUCAAACUCAUGUUGUGUUUCUCUGAAAUAAGUUGUUUCAACAUUUUCUGGACAUCUUUGCUUGCCUUGAGGCCGUGAUUGCAGCGCGUAGAAGGCAAGUUUAUGAUCAAAGGUAAUACCUAUUAUCAUAAUGCAGAGGACUAUCUGGCUAACCCGUUUAUGAUCUUCAUCAUUCAUUUCGAGAAGGCAACGAUCACCCAGAAUUAUGGUUCAUGGACAAAUCCAGCAUAAACAAAAUAUUAAGUGAUUUUUUUUCAUUUGUUCGUGGAAGAGUUAAUUGAUACUUGUUGUUAUUGCUAAUUUUGAUGGACAAAAUUAACUGAUAUUUGUUGUUGUUGCUGCUGAUGGAAGCUUUAGCAUAUAUACUGAGAGUUAUGUUGGGCAAAAACCAAAUGUUCACCAAACUUUGAGAAACCAUUGAAAGAAAAGACAAGAAGAAAAUGGAGUCCUGUUUAUUAAUUUUUUCCUAUAAUAAAGUUUGAAGUGCCACAAGACACGUGGAUAACAAUGAAAUAUAAAUCCAGAUUACACGUAGAAAAUCCAAAUACAGCAAACACUUUUUAUUGAGUGAAGAUUCAAUUUGUCCGUCAGAAAUUGUCUUUCUAUCUUCUUCGAGUAGAUAUCGAAUAUUGAGGGAAAAAAAAAGAUGAGAAGUUGUAAAUGUUUACUAGUGAUAACAAACAUCAAAAUAAGAGUUGAUCCAUUGAAUUCUAUAAAAUUGAGUAUAAAAUAAGAAUACAUUUUUAGCUUGAUACAUACAGUAUGAAAUUGGAACCCCAAAAUAAAUAAUAUGGUAUUACUCAGUUUUAAGUGGAAAAUGGUUUCCUCUUGUGGCAAUUUUGUACAGGUAAAACCCAGUCAUGAGUGCACUGCAGAAAAGUGAGAAAACAAAAUAAAUAUAACAUCAACCUCAUAUAAAAGAUACAAAAACACUUUGAUCGAGCUGCGCAAACUGGUCCAGACACCACAGAUAUAAGAAAAUCAAUUACAAAGACUAUUUUAGUCGAGGUGCUCGCAAGCUAGUCCUGAUAUUAUGAUUAUAACUUUUCGAUAGUCGAUGUGUGCAAGCUUGGCUCGAGUAAUAGAAAGAGACACAUUGCAACUGCAGGCCUUGUGCAAUGUUACCUUAUGUUGCUUGGACUCUUUAAAAAUAUCGUCUAGUCUGAGUCGGAUCCUCAAAAAGUAGUGCAUUUUCCAAGGAUCCGACACUUUGCUACCGAUAAUCUCCAUUUAUUAUCAUCCUGUGUGAUGCCUUGAUUCCACACAACCUCUAACCUCUUGAACCUCACUUAUGGAAUUACACUGGGUAUGUGGUUGUGAUAUGCCAUGAUAAAAUUUGUCAUACCUCACAAACCUAGUGUACUUAAAAAAGAUAGACAAAAUACAGCAACCAAGGAGCAAGUUGAGUAUGGUAUGCUUUCAUUUGCAGUUACCUGAUACCAGCAACAGCACCAGCCGGCAUUAGUUUUGAAGUUUGCAUGUACCGCUGCCCCAUAACCCAUGUUAACAUGGCUGCACAAGCUGUUUGGAAUCGAGUAAAGUGAGUGGCGCGACUAUAAUAAACAAAGCAAUUUCAUUAACAGAAGCAAAAAAGAUGAGAUUUUGAUUUUUCUUAUCUGAAUCAGAAGGACAUCAAACCUACCAUCAGACAAACAAAAACAUAUUCUCUCCGCGUUAGCAUUUCUAUUUCGUCUAAGCAACACACCAAGUAGGAAAACUACAGAGUUCUGAUCAAGGUCAAAACAGCUUAUUAUAGUAUUACAUGUACUCCCUGGAAAGCUUCAAACUUGAUGAAUCGACUGUUAUUUUUGAGUUAAAUGUUCACUUGGAAAGUUGUAUUUUUGAACAUUAAGAUUGCAGUUGACACAACUAACUGGUAGAGAGUCCACGAUUAUCACAGAAUUCAUUCAAAGGAUGGUGGUUUGCACAAUACUUCUGAUCAUUGUUAAAGGAGAUGCUGAGAGGAAACAUGCAUAAUCAUAUAUCUUUUGACCUUGUUUAGUUCAUCAUAUAACAUGAUAUUUUUGAAGUUCUCUUUUGUUAAUAGUUGCUCCAAACUUCAACCAAUAUUAAUGAUCUGCUCCAACCUCCAACUUAACAUCUGUGAAACACACAAGCAGAUACUCGAAAGGUAAAUGAACCCUAAAGGAAACCUAAUAGCAAUUAGAUGCUAAAGUACUGUACCUUCCAAUGAUAGUAUCCACAUAAGAACAAACAGCUCACAUCAAGUUUUAGGUCCAAACAAGAAACAAACACACAAGAACAAAGACACCAGGGUUGCAUCUCAUUUUUGCUCAGGAGAGACAGUCGAUUUCUUAGAAGGACAAAAAUCAAAGAAGAUUUCAUUCUUUAAGAGGAGAAAUACUAAACUAGAACUAGUCUUCGGAUCUAGUGAAGGUCUGGGAAGGCUAGAGUGUACACAUGCUUUAUUCCUACCUAGUUUCAAGAACAACAAGCAUAAAUGAGAGGCUAUAACACAAUCAAGAACUGUGAUUCAAUACUAUUUCAGCACAAUAAAACAGAAAAGAUCCAAGCUUGGCCAAUAUGAGAUGCAGUUUUUUUCUAAUGAAAUGAAAAGGGUAAUACCAGUUUCAAGAAUCAAGGCAAAGUAUGAAUUUUUGCGUUUGUGAAAUGCUUGCAGACUCAAGUAACCCGCUAAGAUCAGUGCAAAUCCAGUACCAACACCUCCAGCAAGUGAAGCUGUGCUUCCUUUACUGGCAUAUCCCAUGACACCACCAGUCACCAGAAUUAACCCAUAAGGGAUCGUAAAGCAGAAAUCAUGCAUCUUUUACCAAGAUUUGAUUUUUUUAUUUUUUUUUGCAAAUUUUUAGUCAAGAUUUCAGAGAUCAAAAAAGUUUGAAACUUUGGAAUUGGUCGUGACUCGUGGGUUCAAUGGCAUAUAUAAAAUUUGUUCCAUUUGGUCUAAAAUGACCUCAAGAUUUGUUCUUGAAUGUACAGGGAAGAUGAAGUAGGCGAGGGUAAUAUAGUCAAUGCACUAAUAUGACCCCCCCACCCCUACCCCAGGGUGCUUCUAUGCACCACACUCCUGCUUUUUCUUUCAUCUUCUUCUUUUUCUUCUGUAACUUCCCGGGUCGGGUCACUUAUGCUCCAUUUCCUUUUUGACCAGACCCGGAUUUUUCCUCCAUGUUAAUGUAUUUCAAGAAUCGGGUCGUUUCAUUUUCUGGAGGUAACCAUUUCUUUGCCAGACAGAACCCUCACCCUCUACCUGUUCAAGUUCAAAACUUGUCUCAAACCCUAGAAAUGGUGAAUGAAUCGGGUCAUUCAAAGAGACCCAUGUGCCCAUCAUGCUCUAAACCCACCCGUUUGUGUCUCUGCACUCGAUUGAAGACCCCAUGUCUUGAAAACUCUGUGGCUGUCACAAUUCUUCAACACAGUCUAGAGAAAAAUCACCCUUUAAAUUCCACUAGAAUUGCUUCUAUUGGCCUGCAAAAUCUGAGUGUGAUUUCAGUUUCUGAUGUUAAUUAUGAAGCUGAAUUCGUCAUUCGUUUGCUCAACUCAAAUCUUGAAAUGGGUUCUCGAAAUUUGGAUGAAAAUAGUAGGAGAAACCAUAAAGACUCAAAUUUUGAUAGUAAUGCUGCUGUUUCUUUCACUAUAGAGAAGUAUGGUGCAAUUAGUACCUCUCAGAAUCAACAUUUGAAUAAGCCGUGGGAACAGUCUCUUGCAGUAAUGCAGGGUAAGACUCUGCAUAGCGGGAGCUUAAGUGCACCAAGCUGCGCUUCAACAGCCUCUAGAGAAGCUAGUGAUGAUAUAAGAAAAGGGUUUUUGGUAAAAAAGUUGCAGAGGAAGUUAUUGGAUGGGGGCUGUGAAUUUCAAGAAUCAAAGGAGUUUGAAAUUUCAGUUCCUUCAGGAUCAGUGCUGUUAUUUCCAAGUGAAAAUUCGAUAGGCACUGAGGAGAUCGAUUUUGAAGUGAAAAAUCUGAUUGUACUUGAUGGGACAUGGGCAAAAGCAAAAAGAAUGUAUAAUGAGAAUCCUUGGUUGAAGAUGUUGCCACAUUUGAGGUUGGAUGUAGAGAAGCUAAGUUUGUAUAGCGAAGUGAGGCGUCAACCUAGAGCUGGAUAUUUGUCUACCAUUGAGAGUAUUGUAUAUGCUUUGAAAGCUGUUGGAGAAAAAGAUUGUGAAGGAUUGGAUCAUUUGUUGGAUGUGUUUGAGUCUAUGGUUGUAGAUCAGAGGAGAUGCAAAGAUGAGGGAUUGAGGCAAAGAUUCUCCAUUUGCAACUAAAUUUAAAUGAGUGUUCUUUAAGUUCACUUAGCUUUGUUUGGAUCACUAGAUGUGAAUGAGAUUAUUCAAGCAUCUUUUUAGAUGAAUAUGCUACUACUUUUUGUACUCAGAUUACUUCUUCAUUGAGUUGAGGGAGUAUCGGAAACAACCUCUUCUAUCUCUGAGGUAGGGCAUAGUUUGUGUACGCUCUACCCUCCUUAUACCCCACUUUGUAGGACUACAUGUCUGAAGUAGCUUGUGCGUAGCAGUAUUAGUUUCACGGGUACUUGCUACUUAGUUCUUGGUAAAUCUGAGUUGUAUUUUGUAUCAGUUUAUUCUGUGAAUCUUGUUGCUUUUGAAGGAGCUAAUAGUCGCAACCGUCUUAAAGAAAGACUCUUUACUAGUGUUGUCGUAAUUAGAGCACAAGCAUUUUGCAAGAAAGGGACAAACAGUUUAAAAAUGGGAAAUCCAUAAGCAUGAGCAAGAACUCUUCAAAUUAAAACCCUCUUGGCAGCGCGAUUUAAAGGCGAUGCAGCCCUAGAUUAUUCAGAGCAGAUACAUUACUUAUGUGCUGGAUUAAGUAUGCAAUAUCAGAAUCAAACUUUGCCUGUGAAACACUUGGUGAUGGUUAGACAAACUUCAGAUAUUUGAGAUGAUAACAGGACAUAUCUCAGCGUCCUCGGGGGUGUAUGUAACACCAUAGAUAAAUCUUAUAUCAACAACAAGAUACAGGAGAUGUUGGGUAUAUAAAGAAGUAAGUCUAAGAUUCUAUAACGCGUUUAAAGUCAUGUUGGCCUAAGCCCAAAAUUUUGUGCAACCUUUGAUUAUGACGGACAUCCUUGAUGAUGUCGAGGGUGUUUAUUUAUGUAUAGCAACAUCAUAGACAAAUCUAACUCUACCAAUACCAUAACAUAGAAAAGGACAAGUAUAUAAGAAGCAAGUCUUAAACCUUAGUGAUGCGUUCUAAACUUCUGUUAAAGAAAUAUUUUUAACAAUUUGUUCAAAGAGAAAGAUGGAGUCGUAAAGCAACACUUAAAUUGUCUUCGUGUAAUCUACGGGUCACGAAAUUGAUACUUUAAAUUGUGAAAGUAGAGACUAAUACUUUCAUUUGAGAUGGUUUGUCUUAAUCUCACCAUUUAGGUGCAGUCCUUCCUGGACUCUUGUAACUAUUGACAAGCUUAAAAAUAUUUAUUUUUCAACUAACGAACUUAAUUUCACCUAUCAUCUUAUAACACGAGUAAAAUACACUUCAAUAAUUUUCUUGAUACCAUGUCCGUGCUAGAGUUUGAAAUCAGUUGCUAUUAAUUUGCUUUAAAUUGCAAAAGUGUUCUUAAUAUUCUCUCGUGUAUUUUUGUUUCUUCACAGAGCUACGAACACACAGUAGCGAGCUUAGAAUGAUGAAGCUAUUUCCAUGGCGUCGUUUAACCAUUCAAGCACAUGGUACCCUCUAUUCCAAAAUCCCCUCUUUAUCAUUCAUCAAUUAUUCCCCUUCUCUGUUCCAUUCUCAGCCAGAGCAAGAUGAUAUCUUCGACCCUCCAUUUUCUCCCCCCUUAAAAACCCAUAAACCCAAGAAAUCGAUAACAGAAAAGCAUGAAAAUGCAGCAUCCAACGAAGAUUCUGAAAAAGCUCACAAAUUUACUGUCAACUCCGACUUGCCCUUUGAUUUUCGCUACUCUUACUCUGAAACCAACCCGGCGGUUGAGCCAAUUGGUUUCCGUGAACCGCCUCGGUUCUCUCCGUUUGGACCGGGACGGCUUGAUAGAAAAUGGACCGGAACUUCAGCUCCGCGUUUACAGCCGGUGGAUUUGGAGAAAGUGGCAGAGGAGCGACGGCGGAUCCUCGGAGAACCGCUCUCAGAAGAAGAAACGGCGGAGCUGGUCGAGAAGUAUCGUCAUAGCGAUUGCUCUCGUCAAAUGAAUUUGGGUAAGUUCAAUAAGAGCCGUUAACUUGUUUCAAGUCAAAACUAGUAUAGUACCUGUGCAAUGUGUGGAAGAUGGACAAAAUUAGAGCAGAAUGGACUAUAAGAAGGUUCAUUUAGAUGCAACACUUGUUUGGAUUGAGGCGAAUUGAUCGAAUUUCAACAAGCCUCCUCCGUUUUCGGAUGAGUGUAACGUGAUAAUGAUGGUUUUUGUUGUAAGUAGAAAUUUGUGGCAGAGAGGUAACUUAUAGCAUAAAUGAUCGGAUGUUAUAGCGAGUGGUUAUUAUAGAGAGGUUUGACAGUAUAAUGAGUAAAAUCAGCCUUCUGCGAUAAAUUCUGUGAUUGUCUGUUUGUCUUUGCUAAGUAAGAUAGAGUCAUUCGUGUUUGUAUUCUGAAUAUAUUUUGUUUUAAUGUACUUCCUGAAGAAGUUAUGAUAUAAUCUUAUAUAUAUGAACUCCAUCUUAGCCGAGAUAAACAGGAAAGGAAGUUGUCGGCCAAAAUAAAGACAGUCAACUUAUUAUGAUGAAUCGAAUAUCAAAGAACAAAGAAUCCCUUCUAGUUUAGGUUUGAGGCUAGUAGAGCUAAGUAGAUAUCUUGCACAUAUGGCUUCUGUUUGACCGAUGAUUGGUAUUUGUCUCUAUGAAUAUAAAUUUGCAUCCUCAUUUACAUCUUGGUAUAAUGAUCACUGCAUUUAAUUCAGUUUGAUCCAUACUUCUCCAUGAUUAUCAUAGCUUUAUUGUGUGUUAGGGCGGGGUGGAGUUACUCACAAUAUGUUGGAAGAUAUCCAUAACUAUUGGAAGAAGGCUGAAGCCGUUAGGAUCAAGUGCUUGGGGGUGCCAACUCUUGACAUGGAUAACGUAUGCUCUCAUCUCGAGGUUUGUGAUCUGAAUACCAGAGUGCUGGCACAUCUAUUUGGAUGUAGAUUUCUUUAACCUUUUACAAAUGAACACUUCUGUCUCUGAUGCAAAGCACAGUAUCAUUGUAGGACAAAUCAGGUGGAAAAGUUAUCUAUCGCCAUAUUAAUAUCUUACUCUUAUAUCGUGGUCGACAUUAUGAUCCCAAAAGUAGACCUACUGUUCCUGUGAUGCUGUGGAAGCCUUUGGCUCCAAUAUAUCCGAAGCUUGUGAAGAAUGUUGCUGAAGGCCUGACAUUUGAAGAAACAAAGGCAAUGAGGAACAAAGGGCUCAAUGCUCCUCCUCUAACGAAACUCAGUGAGUAACUUGUGUUUUCUCUUUAUUAAAAACAAGUUAACAGAUUGCCGUCUGUAUUUGUUGAUUGUUACAUGCCACUCUUCUAGGCAGAAACGGGGUGUACGUGAAUGUGGUGGGCAAAGUCAGAGCGGCUUUUGAAACAGAAGAAGUUGUUAGAUUAGAUUGUACCCACGUGGGAGCAAGUGAUUGCAAAAGAAUUGGUGUUAAAUUACGGGUAUUAUUCAUAUAUCUUGCCUCAGCUUUCAAAUCUUUAAUGUUGAUACUCCCUUCUUACCACAGGAAUGUCUGUUUACCUCGACAUUAUGUUAUGUUAAGUUAUGUUAUGACAAUAAACCAAAUAGCGACUGACCUGAGAUACAGAUUCUUCCCCAGUCUCUGAAACCUUGUUUGUGGUAUACUAACUCGGGAAACAUAUGAGAAACAGGAACUAUCUAACUUGCACCUGUAACGGUGUGGGAGUAAAUUUCAUAUAUUAUUUGUCUCCGCCCCCUUUUUAUUUUCAAUGCACGACAAAUUGAAAGUUUCAUUUCACUCUAUUAAUUUCAGGAUCUGGUACCAUGUGUUCCUAUCUUGUUCAAAGAUGAGCAGAUUAUUCUCUGGAGAGGCAAAAGAGAUGAACAGAACAGAACUCCGGCUCCUGAAUAGAACUUAAGCUCACAGAUGACUUUUGAAAUUUCGAGCUUCCAUCUUGGAGCAAGGCACUCACAAUCUUCAUUUGGCAAAUGAAUCUGCCAAGGCUUCUCGACUGUUGCUUGAACUUGUUAUACAAGAACUGACCAUUAUGUUCAAUGACAUUAUCCUGGGUUUUGCUGAUGAGAUGUGCUAAAUUAGGCAGCUCAGAUCACAGAUGACAAAGAAAUGCAAGCAGGUGAAGAACUAGUUUCUGAAAUCCUGUAGUUGAUAGACUACUUUUUGAGUUACAUGUAAACGUUCAUGCUAAAGCUUCUGAAUUAUAGAUGUUUUCUACAGAACAAUUAGUUACAUUUUUAUGGCAUGGUAUUCAACUUACAGCUCUCAUCUUCAAGUUUUUGACUGUCGAGUUUGAGCAACAAGAGACAUUACUCAAUAUAUCUCCUAAAUUUACUUAAUAAUAAGAACAAGUAGUUGGUUUCUGUUACAAGUAGAGCUAAGAGCUUCCAAGGAUUUCUCUUAGUUCAUGACUCUAACGCUGCUGCAUCCUGAAUCAAUCAACGAGGUAAUCGAAACUUGAUCAGACCUCACUGGUUCAUCAUCAUCAUUUCUAUGCCAGCUCCAAGAGGCAUGAGUUGAAUUAAUUAUCGCAAGUUCACCAUGGCCAAAGCUUGCUUCGCGGAACACAGACCAUUCUGGUUGGGGUAGCUUGUACCUGUCAAUGAUUCGCCAGGACAUGUAAGUUCAUUGUCAUAAUAACUUCCACUCUACAAAACCUUAUAUAAGCACUUUGUGAGAAGUUUCCUUUUGUUGUCAAAGUUGUUCAACUCAGAAACAGAACCAAACAAGUUCUUGUUUCCAUUGCCAUUUUAAGGAUCUUGUGCUCAGCAUGGCGAGAAAAAUUAAUACAAGGAAUACUUACUUGCGCGCUAAACCUUCUUUGUUUCCUCCAUCACCAAUUGUUAUGUGGACAGCACCACAAGGAUCAGGUUUACCAUUAUAAACUCGUUGCUGUUGUAAAAGAAGAAAUGAAUUGCAUCAUCUACGAGUAUGCAAUAAUCAAAAGUAAACAAGUAAAUUAGCAAGCUAGGCAUACCGUGCGUUCAUAAGCAUGAACAUGCCCAGCAAAUACUAUAUCUGCACCAGCUGCAUAUAACAGAGGCUCAAUAGAUGCCAUCAUGUCAUCAGCUUCACCUUGAUGAGCCUCAUUACUGUUAUACCAUGGCACAUGGAAUAACACAACCAACCAAGGAGUCUUAUUGCGAUCAACCUUUUGAAGAUCAGCCUAGAAAUGAAUUUCCAAUAAAUGCACUUGUAUUAGCAGAACGAAAAGUUGCUAAGCUUUUCAGUAAUAAACGAGAGCUCAGCUAAUUAACCUUCAGCCAUCGAUAUUGAUCAGAGUAGUCAUCGUAAUCAGUAUAUGAACCAAGCAUGAUUGUAUGAACCCCAGCAACGUCAAAUGAAUAGUAGAGAUUCGAAGUAGAUCCACUCUCCUCAAAUGGCAUCUUCCACCUGGAGUUGUAAGAUAUAAAUUCAUCCACAACGAAUGGUAUGUUUUCUUUUUCAUGAUUCCCUUGAGUCACCAUCCAUGGUCUUGCACUAGCCAGCGGCUGAACCAGUUGACCAAAUGUGUCCCACCUAUGUUGAACAUAAUCAGCAUAAGAAAGGUCACCAGGGAGCAAAUGAACAUCAUAUUUACAUUGGUCUAUAUGGUCUAAAGUUGACUUCGUCCAUCCAGUUUGGCCUAAAUCUCCUGCCACUGCAAAAGUAACAGGAAACUUAGACGGUGGAGUUUUGAACUGGAACUCCGGAUCUUCUCCACCACAUCUGUAGAAAUACACUGUGCUGUCUUGCAAUGGUCCUAUCACAGUAUGAUGUAUCAUCCCAGAACGAUAAAACAGGUAACUGUACUUGGUAAUUUCUCCUUGAGCUUUAUAACUAUAUUUUCCAGUGGAUGUUCCAUAUUCAACAAUUGAAGGAGAAGAUUUAUCAGUUGUCACCCAUGAUACCCUUAUGUGUUUGUCUCCAGCUAAUGAGAUGUGAACCUGAAAUGACCAUGUCAAUCCACAUGAUCAACUAUACAAGCCACAACAGUAAACCAAUUUGGAAUGACAUAAAAUGUUUCCUUUUUUAUGCUUGAUAGGUUGCAAAAGUUCGGUUUGUGCUCUGAAUCAAGAAACUAAAGAGGGAAAGAGAAGUUAGUCGAAUUGAAAUGAAUCCAAGAAAUAUUAGUAGUUCUUUACACCACCCUUCAUGCCAACCCCUCCCCCACCUUCGUUAUAAUAGCAUUUCACUAACAUUAAAUCCUGGCUCCACCUUUGACUAACAUAAUGACCGUGAAAACAUUCUACAUCCUCCUAAACAGGACCAAACACUAGCUUGAAUACACAAUAAGAAAACGAAAGCACAAAAGAACAGAGCUUUGGAGUGUAUUGAGCUUAAUUGACGCCUAAUUAAACUACAUUGCACAUUGAUAUCAUGCAAAGCAAUGCGUAGAAAAUCAAAAACUUCCUAUGAAGAAUGAAAACACAGAUACCAUGAAAAUUGGUAACUUCAGGAGGUUAAAGACGGUUGAUUCAAGUUUCAAUCAUUAAGGAAUAACCAAAUUAUGGUAAAACAUUGACCCAUAUACGAACCUUAUCAGAUCAAAAAGAAGAAUAUUAAGCACCCUUAGUUUCACAUCAUAAUGUAACAAAGAGUAAUUAAAACUCCUAAACUCAGCUAAACAACAGUAUCCAGAUAUAAUCCAGACCCAAAAUUACAAUAUAUCUCUUCUAGUAAGUUGGCACUCAUUCUCAAAAAAUCUCUUCCCUCAAUAUCUCUCUGUCUCAAUUUACAUGACACAUUUUACUCACCUCCCUACUACUCUCUAGAUACAUCUCUGUCUCAAUCUAUACGACACAUUUUACUUACCGAGAGUAAAUUUGACUUUAAUCAACUCAAUAUUUUAACAUUAAAACUUAAAUAUUCAAAAUAAAAAUAAAAAAUUGAGUACUACUAUAUAAGUUACACAUAUUUCCAGUGUUCAUACAUUAAUUUGAUUUGCUAUCAGAGGAAAAAAUUAAAAUUCUAGAUCCGCCUCGAUCCUCAUUACCUGUUGAGGUUGAGAGGAAGAUUGUGGAUCCCAUGGCAAACGAAAGGCCUUACGCGGCGGAGGUCGGAGAUAUUCUACUUCUUCUCCAGCUCGGACUGUUCUGCUGAUGAACGGAAUGGAUGUCAAAGAGAGUAAUAAUAGUAGUAGUAUCUUCAAUUUGAGCUCCAUUAUUGGUGCUGGUGGAUUUUGAUGUAAUUUUUUGAAAAUUGGUAACUUAAAAGACUAUCAGUCAUUGCUUUUUUUUUUUUUGUUUCUUUUUUUCCCCAAUUACCGCGCUUUUUUGUUUGUUUCACACCUAUAAUUCCCAAUCUCUCCAGAUUUCUCUUUUUCGUUUUCACACUUCUCAUAUUUUAUUCACACUUUUCGUAUUUCAUUCCGUAUUUAUUGAUUUGACUUGACGUUAAGUUUAUAAAAUUUAUGACUAGAUGUUUGUGCAGUUAAAAAUUAUUAAACUAAAUAUAAAAUAGAUAUUUUAUUAAGAAAAAAAUGUAUAUCUUUAACCUAUGGUAUAUAAUACCCUCCGUCAUCAUAUUUUUAGGACAUUUAUCAUUUAAAAACUAAAAUAUAUAUGGAAGACUAAAUAGAAAUACAUGACGAAAGCAUGACGAAUAACAUCUGCAUACCAUUUAGAAUAGUUUGAGGGUAUAUUUAUCAUUUUUUCAAAUACUAUUUAGAAUAGUUCAAGAGUAUAUUUGUCAUUUUUCCCCGUCAUCUAAAAACUAAAAUAUAUAUACCUUUACUCUACUAUAAAGGAAGCUAAACAAAGACACGUGACAAUAAUGAUAUCUACAUUUCAUUUAGGAUAAUUCAGGAGUAUAUAUAUCAUUUUCCCCUUCUAUAAUGAAUUUUUAAGCAUAGUUUGUAUCACAUAACAUAAAGAAACAACUCAAAAUUAUUUAAGACAUCUAAACAGUAGAAGACUCUUUAUGUAUCAUAUAACAUAAAGAAUUUCACAUACUAAAAUACAGCUACUCUACCAUCUUUGUUUCGUCAAUUAUAAGCAUCACAUUUACUAGAUGCUGCUCACAAGCAAACCAAAUGCAAUCGAAUACUGCAAAUCAGAAAUGGUAAGAAAAAACUUAACAGAGUCUACACACAGGUCAAGGUACAGUUUGGAAUGUUUCGGUACACGUUAGUGUAAUAGCAAACUCAAGUUACAGACAGGAGAAGAGAAAAUGUCCCACAAAAACUCACAAUCACUCAGUUUAUCAAAUUCAUUGUACAACCAGUCACACCGACGGGAAAGAUCAGCCUAAGCACUGGAAAUUUGAACGUCGUCUACUUCUUAGCCUCCUUGAAAAUAAUUAAACUUCACUGCAAAUGAAGUGAACAACGGAUGAGGAAAUACUGUUGAAGAAGAUGCAAUAUGGCUAUCCAGAAAGUGAAAAGGCGCAAGCCAGACCUUCAAGGCCAUAUUUGUCAUACCUGCUGUGGCUGCUGAUAAUUCCCAUAUCCUGGGUAAUUCCCAUAAUACAUAUUAGGGUCCUGAGCGGGAGGAGCAUAUCCAUAAGCCUCAUAUCCUUGGGCAUACCCAUAAUAUGCACCAGCACCAGCACCGGCACUUCCACCCCAUUGAGCCUGAUCGGACUACAUAGAAUAAUCACAGUCAGCACAAUAGCGGAUUUAUCAAGUUUAAUACAGCAAAGAUAGGCCAAAAACCUGUUUGUUAGAGGGGCUACGCCCCCAAGAAAGCCGAAUGCUUUGUCCUCCCAAUUGUGUGCCAUUCAAGCUUGACAAAGCCUGCUCAGCAGAAGCUCUGGAAAUGCCGAGUGAUAGUACAUAAGAAAAGAACAUGGACAAGAAAUCUAGCAAUAGACAUUAUUAAUUGCAUCUGGCAUUACCUACUACCAAACUGAACAAAGCCACAGCGCUUUCCAGCCACUAUCUUCACGUGAACCAAUUCACCAUAUGGGGAGAAAACUUGUCGCAAAUGCUCUUCUGCAACACUGGGAUCCAAACCACCAACAAAUAUCUGUUCAUUUGAAUAUGAAAGGUUAGAAGUGCAUAUACUAGAAAAACAAACUUAACAUCGAAACAAGCUACCCACAGUUGUAUUAUUGGGGUCACUUUCGCCUUGAGUAGCUUGAGGAUUUUGGUAGGUAGCUGCAAUGGUAAAAGAUGUGAGUAGAAAUGUAAUCAUCAAAAAGUGCUACGGCAUCUAUGGUCAAUUUGACUGUCCGGCAGGUAGAGAGAAUUGGACAGUAACACAAAAGCAUAAAAGAAGAAACAAAGACAGGCUACACAUCAAUUAGCCUAAGCUUUAUAAAUGAAGAUAGUAGAGUGUGAGGUCCUUUUAAUUCAUUAUGACAAUCAUUUUACAUUUCCACACAUGUUCUGAAAAUCCAUGAGCAGGGGAAAUAGAUGAAUGCAUUCAAACACAUAAAAAACACAAAAUUAAAACAAAUAAGUAUCCAUAAGCAUUACUUUACAGCCUACACGUGAAUGCACGCCCUUUGAAAGACAUGAAUUUUCAAAGUCCAAUGUUUUGUGGCAUAGACCCUUGUUAAAAAAGACAUAAUACAUAAACAUGACCCUUAACUUGGCGUCAAACAACAAUGACCUUUAACUUUUGGUGUACACAAGUAAGCACUUAAACUUGUAUAGCGUGUGUCUGUUUAAUUUUAUACAAGUUUAAGUGCUUAGUUGUGCACAAUCAAAGUUGGAGGGCAUAGUUGUUCGUUGAAGUCAAGUCAAGGGUCAUAAUUAUGUAUGCCUUGAAAAACUGUUAAGGCAGUUCAAAGGGAGAUGAGCUGAAAAGGUGUUGAUAGGUCAAGUUGAGUCCCUAGACUUGGUAGCAAACACCUUAACACAGACAGCUGUGAACGUGACACACAAAGGAAGGAAAAGAACUGAAAGGAAAUGAACUGAAACAACUUGCCGCAGCAUUAUUUAAAGGUGUACAAGAUAGAUCCUAACUGAAAUAACACAAGGCCAGCUGAGGAAUUAAAUAAACUGGUAAAAUGAAGAAAGGAAAUUUAAAUUUUGAUAGAAAUGAAAAUAAUUUACGAAGGUUCGUAAUAGUAAUUCAGGAACUGGAAAUUAACUGAAUGUAGCAUAAGAUGCCACAAGAAUACGAAGUAAGGAAGCGUGACAUAAACAAAUACACUGACCUAAAAUGAGGCCACGCACUAAAGUGGAAUCAUUUCAGCUGAAAUCAGUUCCAGGCCCCCAUAUGAGAGCCUCUCUGUUUCCUGCUUUGAGACAACACGAGUUUUAUAAGUUUGUGCACAUUUUGAAACAAUUAAAUGCCCCCAAGCGUAGAAAGUUAAGUACUGGAAGAAAAG
rnacentral:lncRNA from 1 species